CUGCUGCUGGUGGUGAUCACGCUCACGGCUCACGCAUGAUGCCCCGGGGAGCUGUGAUUAGCCACCUCCACCCCGGCCGGCGCUGUUUCGUCUCUGUCGGUUGCGUUGGUCACACGUACUAGUACGAGAGUUCUCGGCUGCUAGGAGGUGGCGAUCGGUGCAUGUGCUGCUGUUCGUUCGAGCGGUAGUGCAGCUGGUGCCGGCACGGUCUGUUGGGGCAGGUGGUUGGAUCGGAUCGCCCGAGUCCACCACACGCCCUGCGUCCGGCCGACCGCCUGCAAACGCAAGUAAACAUCGGAGCGUAAUAUAAUGGCCACCCAUAGGGGCAGAAGAUCUGAAUCUGCAUCGGGCUUGGGCCCGUGAUCUCACCAGAGGUUAGUUAACUUUGAACUGGUUGCUCCACGACCACGAGUGGCACAGGGGCCGACACAGGGCGUGGCACUGGCACAUGGGCAUGGGGUGUGCCCGCGCUUGUGGUUGGAUCCGAAUUGAACCACCGAUCGGUUGAUUGAUCGAUGCCAACAACGUAGUAGCUGGCCUUCAGGGUCGGGCGGGCAGGUCGGCAGACCGGACGUCGGCCGAGCUUUGAUGCGCUUCGUUCCAAUGCUGGACUCUGUCCGCUGGUUUAGCUGUCUGAAUAUCAUCCACUGUGUUGUUGUGCUCAUAGGUGCAACGAGCGAAUAUCAUUUUAUUUUUUGGCCACAGCUCCCACAAAUGUCAUUGCAUGAUGAAAGUUUGCAAACGAUCAAACUAAUUGUCAGUGUUUGUUAAAAAGAGAUGAAAUUGUUUUGAUUUUGUAUGUUGUUGUUCACCCGAGUUUAGAGCACUUCGAUGGUUCCGUACGUAUCUAUAUGAAUAGUGUAAAAUUAGAAGAAAAAAAUUGAUUUUUUGCUGAGUCAAACUUGGUCGCCUGGUCUACUUACAUGUGAAUUUUCGGAAAGAAAUGACACCCAUGGUAUACUCAUAGCUUAUUAUCCCCAAAAAAGGAUUUUAUUUUAAUGUGCUUCUGUUUUUUUUCUUUUUGUCCUAGAGUACUACAUGUGUCAUUUUGUGUGUGUGUGUGUGUGCAAAAUGUUAUUAUUACCGAGUGUUUCACCAACAUGAUAUCGAAAAUGGUUAGCAAAAGCAGAAGUCCUUUUUUACUUCCGAGCUCAAAUGCUUACUUGUAAACAGUAAAAUCAAAAAAAUAGUAAAAUAAUUCAAACAAUUCUUUAAUUUUUAUGAUAAACUUUUACAAAUGUUUUACAUGUGUACCAAAAUUCAGCGCGAAAUAACAUUCGUAGAAGUUGCAGCGAAAAAAGCAAAAUCAAUAGUCCAAAAUGUAUCAAAAACUAGCAUUUCAGCGAUUUUGUUUUUUGUCACGACUUCCACAAAUGUAAUUUCGAGCUGAAAUUUUAUAAGCAUACAAAACAUUUGUCAGAGUUUACCACAAAACGAGUUCAGCAUUUUUAAAAUGUUCUUAAUAUUUUUUAAGAUUUUACUAUUUAUGAGGGGCAUAUGAGCUCGGAAGAAAAACUCCAUAUCCUUAGCAAAAGCCUCUACCCAUUGUGUUCUAACUGUAGACACUAUCGGUACACGGAAGGGUCAUUUGGAUACUGAUAUUGUAGAGAAACAUGACUGUUGGUAUAAUUACCUAAAACUUAUUUGAAUUCUUUAAACUCUGAACAUGUAUAACUGUUUUUAUGAAAAGACCCUGAAAAGACGUGGAUGUCGCAUAGAGGGGGUGAAUAGACGCUUUAAAAUAAUUACGAUUUAGGUUUGAACGAAUGCGGAAUAAAACUAGCGAUUAAUUUAUCAAGCACAAAACCUAUAACAACUAGGCUCACCUAUGUGCACCAACAACUUAUGAUAAGCAAGAUAAACAACUAAGUGAUAGCAAGAUACUCCCUCCGUUCCUAAAUAUAAGUCCUUUUAGAGAUUGUGUUAUAAACUACAUAUGGAUGUAUAUAGACAUAUUUUAGAUUGUACAUUCACUCAUUUUGCUCCGUAUGUAGUCUCCUAGUGAAAUCUCUAAAAGGUCAUAUAUUUUGGAACGGAGGAAGUGUAUGACAAUAAACAAUAUGGCUAUCAUAAAGUAAAUUGCAUAAGUAAAGGGUUUGGGUAAGAGAUAACCGAGGCUUUACACCACAACGAUUGAGCUCCGAGACACCACCAAGCUUNNNNNNNNNNNNNNNNNNNNNNNNNNNNNNNNNNNNNNNNNNNNNNNNNNNNNNNNNNNNNNNNNNNNNNNNNNNNNNNNNNNNNNNNNNNNNNNNNNNNUACACGUACUUUAGAAUGGAUUCACUCAUUUUCUCUAUAUGUAGUCUGUAUUGACAUCUCUCAAAACCUAUAUUUAGCAACAGGGGAAGUAGUAUAUAGGACGCCUUUGAAUUAUAAGAUUUUUAUUCUAUAGUUUUAGUCUUCAAAUAUUGUAUUUAGCUGCUCAGAGAAACUGAAAAUGGGAGAGAGAAAGGAAAAAGGAAACAUAAAAAAAMAUACACACACAGUGCCACAUUGUCGACAUAAUACACAUGGGCGCUUGCUCUUGGGUCUACUAUUUUCCUCUCAAUGUCUUAGAUUACUAGACGAUGUCCCGCGCGUUGUUGCGGGAAAUUUGUUAAAAAUAUAUGGAUGAAUGUUAGAAAACUAAUGUUAAUGCAAAAAAUCAUUAUAAAAAAUGUCUUGCUUAAUUACCUAGAAAAAAAAUUCAUGCAUAAGGGUAUGUUUUGCGAGAAAAGAUUAAUAAAAAAGUAACAUACGACUACAUGCAUGAUUUGAUGAUAUGACAUUGUUAUAUGGAGAGGAAACUUGGGUAGUGGGUUCUAACUAUUUAAGAAUAGAAGAUUCUUCAACUUUCUACUAAAUUUUAGUCAUUAUUCUUUUCACUUCUUUUUCCUUCACAUUUUAUUAAAUGAAAUUUGUGCAUAUAUGUGACUUUUAAAAUAUGCAAUGAAUUGUUUUAUAUCAAAAUCCGUGAAUUGUUUUAGAAAACAAGAUGGCCAUUUAUUAUAUACAUGAAGUUUAUAAAACACAAGGAUACAACUUUAUAUCAAAUUUGUUGUUUAUACAUGAAUAUUUAUAUUAUGAUACCUGAUUUAUUNNNNNNNNNNNNNNNNNNNNNNNNNNNNNNNNNNNNNNNNNNNNNNNNNNNNNNNNNNNNNNNNNNNNNNNNNNNNNNNNNNNNNNNNNNNNNNNNNNNNGUCUGAGAGGAGCCCUAGUACCCGACCAAAGAUUAUGGGUGACCCUUGAUCCCUAGAUUUUGGUCCCAGCCCACUCAUCAUCGUAAACGUCUAGUUCAAUCUCUGACACGCAUUUCUCAUCCAUUUGUUGAUCCGUUGCUGAUGUUGUUCCUGAUGACAACGCGUUAUCGGACCAUUAAAUUCCUCCUUCAUUUCCGCUGCGAAAAGCAGAGGGUGCGCAAUUGUGUAUUCGAACUUCAAAUUUCAUGAAUAUCCAUAUUUUAGUAGUUUAAAAAAUUCUGAAAAAGAAUACAUAGAUAUAUGAAGCUAUAAUACACAAGUGUGUAAAUUUUCAGAACUAAAUACGUGAAAAUGACGGUUAUGAAAAAAAGACAAAUCUGAAGCUUUUUAACACAUGACACUAAUCAUCUUUCUAGACCAUGAAUUUGUUUUUAUUACAGGCCGCGUCUUAAAGUAUUUUGAUCUAAAAUUUUACACACACACACGGAUCAUAUACUUGUUUAGUUGUAAUUAAUUUUCUCAGUAUUUUGGGAACCUAAAAUUUUUAUUUGUAAUUUUUAAAAAAAUUCGGCCUCCAUGGCUUCCGGAAGCCAAACGUCNNNNNNNNNNNNNNNNNNNNNNNNNNNNNNNNNNNNNNNNNNNNNNNNNNNNNNNNNNNNNNNNNNNNNNNNNNNNNNNNNNNNNNNNNNNNNNNNNNNNCGGCAAAACCUCAUCCCAACCGUCCAAAUUCCCAGCCCCAGGAAUACCAUCUACUCUCAUUUUCAUUUUAUUUUUGUAUGACUCACACAUGAGAUCUUCAGUACGAUAAUAAAUGUUCCUUGCUGUACAGCAAAUAUCGUCGACAUUAUUGCACGAUCAGACGGUGACCUGUCACGGGAAAGGACAGCCCCGAAAGAGAUCCCAGCGGAGAGGGAGGACAGCCACCACGUCAUGCCCAGUGCUCGAAUAUAAGUUGAAAAAAAGAGAAGAAAUUUUAUGAACGGUCAAUUUCAACUGCCGUGCAAACUCAUUUUUCAAGUGCCAUUGACAAAAUUAGCCGUCCAGCAACAGCUAGCUUCGGCGAGAAACACCAUCAGAAUUGCUUGUCUGGCUGUCCGWAUUUUUCUCGUUUCUUUUGCAAUUGAGUCCUAAUCUUUCUCAGAAGUUGCUUCAAUCAAUCGGGUCUAUAAUAAUUUAUUUAAGACAGAGAGAGAUUGUGUGUCCAGACUCCACACACCUUGACAUGACAUGUUUCCGUGAGAGUUCCGUGACAAUACGGAUGUGCUCGCNNNNNNNNNNNNNNNNNNNNNNNNNNNNNNNNNNNNNNNNNNNNNNNNNNNNNNNNNNNNNNNNNNNNNNNNNNNNNNNNNNNNNNNNNNNNNNNNNNNNUAAUAGCACCUCGCACUAACGUCACCAAAUGGGUCGGUCCAUUUAGGUGGACUACUGCGUGAAAACUCCUCUCAUUGACGCUGGUGAGUGUGCGCUAGAAGCUCUCGUCAUCCGCAUCAUACAUGUCUUUAGUCGGUUUUCCCUUCUAGUGGUCGCUUGUCAUCCAUGUUGUCUUUUUUUAACACAGUCCGGACACAAGCGCUCAUAUAUACACACAUAUUGUCAAUAUUAUAAAUGCACACACGCAUAUCAUAUUUCUAUGAGCACCUUUAAGAGAUUAAACCGGCAUAUCUUAUUAAUAUUUAUGAAAUCAUCGUAGACGACUUGUCCUUGACGAAAAUAUCUCCUCCUAAUAAAAACGUAUCGUCGAAAAUUCUGAAAUAAAUUCAGAAAUAAUGCGAGCAUUAAGACUUGAAUCCUGAUGAAUUGAAAAUAUCAUUGUCAUUCUAACCAUCCAACCACAGAUUGGUUCGCGUCAUCCACGUUCGCAUCAUACAUGUUGCCGAUGAUGCAUUCCACCAUUUUGCCUUGAUUUCUGCUGCCCAAAGCAGAGCGGGCGCAAUGGUGGAUUCAUUUAGUGUGGCUACCUACGAGCCUUGUUAGCUCAUCUACUGGUCUUCCAGUAGCAAGGAGUACCUAGAGCCAAUUAAGCUACCUUGAAAAGCCGGUCAUCCAGGUAAUUAAGUGCCUACCCAACCUAUCUAACCCCAGCCAAAGCUAGGCAGGAAAGCCUUCAACUCUAGUUCCAAAACCAUAGCUGCAUUGGAACUUAGUACAGCUUCAGCCAAACGUUGCUGCCGGGCAAUUUACACGCAACUUUCCUCGGAAGCUUCCGUUUGCUCUCGGGCGAAAGAAUCCGGUGCCGAUCACGCAAGUGUAUCCGGGCAAAUAAAGCUCCGUGAAGAGAAGCGGAUACCUUGGCGCGCGAUGGCGGAUGCAUCAGAAACAUCGAUGACGAUGCCAUUGCAAAACAGUAAAGGAAACAUCUUUAGUUGAUGGAUGCCAUGUCACGGCAAGUAGGCACGACACCUCGAAGAAAUGAAAUGGUCCUUGGCCAAGGUCGUUCUCGGAUUUCUAUUGCUUUGAAUCUUAUUUCCUUUCUUUGACACUCACUCUUGCUUUCUAGGGCACCCGCCUCCGGACACCUUUAAUUUGUUCCAGGGAUUCGCGGCGUAGGAGUACGUGUUGAUCACUGGCCAACGUGCGCAGGGGUAUUUCUCACGUCUGAAAUUCAGGCUUGUGAACAGCCUAGACUCUAGACCAAAGGCUUGUAAAGACCUAUAUUCUAUGUGCGCCUCGUUCCCAUUCUGCGCGUGUAGGUUUGUUUAUGUCUCUGACCCUGACCUGAUCAUACAUAGUACACAGAACGCAUCCACACAUGUUCCAUAUGUAAUUGGCACUUGUCGACAAGGACAUGGUGUAGAAAAAUCAUUCCGACCGCUUGCAUCUCAAUCAUCGUUUUUGCCAAGUCAGACCGUUCUUAUCGCCCAGUUCAUGCCUUGUAAUCUUAUACAUUUAUAUGACCUUCCUUCUCUCCGUGUAUCAGUACUAUGUGAUACUGCUGCUUUGCUGAUGCUUGAAGAUAAACCAAGUCUUUAUGUCACUUGUAGUUGCAAGCGAGGUAGCUUUGAUUGGCUGCGAUGGAGGAAAAGCUAGCGCGGUGUUGACAGGGUCGACAGGGCAUGGUUUUCAUGUCCGAAAUUCAGAGGAGGAGAAAGAAAGAGGCGGGACGUCGGUGCGGCGCAGCCAGGACGGACACUGCCGAUCCGUGCGAGUAGUUCAUGGCUGUGGCUGGACACAUGACGCCUUCGUUCUUUCCUCUGCUUUCUUCCUUUACUUUUCACUUUGUCAUGACUGUUUUUCAUUUACAUGAGUAUAUCUAGUUAUCUACUACUCCUAUCUUAUCGGUUUGACUUGUGCUCCUUUGACACGGGGAAAAAAGCGAGCAGAGGUGAUUGAAAUAUGGAAUACGAUGGCCGGUUUGUGUCUUUCUGAUUGUGCAGUCACUGUACAAAUCACUCUGAUUGAGAGUAGCAUGUGUCGUUCCUUGGCUUUCAGAGAAUCGUGGCCACACUUGGGCUGCUUUCCAUUAACGCGCAGUGCAUUAUUCGUGGGCGCGAGGCCACACCAAAGCCCAUGUUACAGGAUUCGGGUCCAUGAGAUCCUUGGCGAGUCAGACAUGACCUCACUGCGCCAGAUUACCGUUCAAACGCACAGCAGAGAGGCAGGCGAGCGAAGGGUAACGGGGUAAGCUCAUUAUAGCAGGUUCAUAAACCAGUUUUUAUUCUGUUAUUUUUUUACUGGUUUACUGUGAAGCCAGACAUAUCUCGCCUCUCAUAUGACGCUGAUGGUACGACCAAAUAAUGUAGCUGCCUAUGCGUAUUUUUUUUUUCACUAUUGCAUCGGUUCUCUUUGGGACUUUUCUUCUGGGUUUUUUCCUUUGUUUCUUUCUUCUGUUUUAUUUGUGUUUAUAUUAUUUUAUUUAACAUUUUUUGCAACACAUGUCUACUUUGUCAAUACACACUCUACAAUUUUUGUAUACAUAAGGAACUUCUAUUACAAAUUAAUAUAUUUUUUAAUUCAUGAUUAACAAAAUUUUACAGAUAUAUAUGUAUUGAUGUCUAAUUUUUAAUAUACAUUGCACAUUUUUUGUAUACACUCAAAAAACCCAUUUAAGAUUUUUCAAAUACUAGAUUAACAUUUAUUUCAAACACAUGUUUUUUAUUAUUUUCGAAGAAGAGUUAAAAAAACUCAAGUACAUGGUGAAAUGUUUUAUUAAAAAUGAUAAAACAUAUAUUUUUUUGGACAUGCAACAGUUUUUUAGAUUGUAUACACAUUUUGAAAAAUGUCCCAAACAUAAUUUUGAAACACGUGAACAAUUGAAAUUAUAUUGUAUAUUUUUUUCAAAUGGUACAAAAUAUUUGUUUCAAUACCUAAGUGGUUUUACAUUUUAUAAAAUACUUCAAAAAUAUAACAUGCAUUUGUUAAACACGUGAAAAUUUACCAAUGUCACCAAAGUUUUGCAGAAUUAUCACAUGCAUUUUUUGAAAUGCUUGCACAUUUUUAACGUCACGAACACUUUUUAAAUGCUAUCAACAUUUUUGAUUCACACGAACAAAAAUUCCACACUAUGUUAAGACUUUUUAAAUAAGUGUCUUAAGCUUAGUACAACUUUAUACUAUAGCUAGUACAAAGUUGAGACAUUUAUUUUGGAACAAAGGGAGUAAUUCACAAAGCCUUAACAAAAUAUUAAGUUCACUAUGUUUGCAGAACAUAAUCUUUUAUAUGUUUUCGAAAUAUAUAUAAAUAGAAAAAUGAACAAAGUUGUUGUAUGUGUAGUUGCUUGAUUGUGGAACUGUCCAUUUUAGGGCGUCUUUGAGGCGAGACGUGCUUGUGUCUUGCUGCGGACAAGACACUCUGUCAUGGUGAUUCAGACCCCUUCUUUUACACGGUAUAUGUGCAAACGCUCAGGCAUUUGCAUUAAUACCAAAAAAAAAUUAUGAUCCAUAAUGUGAGUGACAUGUGUCGUUCCUCGGUGAAAUCUGAAAUCGUGCAUGAUGUGCACAAAAAUAAUACGGAUGGUGUGCUUUUCAAAGUUAACGCUAAAAACAUAUUAUAAAACGAUCUGGGUUUUCUUAUAUAAAAUUAUGAAAUUGAAAGGUCAAUCUGAUCAUAUAAUACACUAUUUUGAAUUAAAUAUGGCUUGCAUUAGGAAAAGAAAACAUCUACUAAAGAACAUCAUCUUUGCGUACGUGUGAGCUUGAGUGAAGCCCGACCAAUAUACGUGAUCAUGGAAAACUAGACCCGGCUAGCCCGGCCCGAAAUUUUCAGGCCUGGAUUUGCCUGCACGCCACGUCCGGGCUAGAGAAUCAGGCCUGAAGAUCGGGCAGGGCCGGGCUCGGGCCUGUAGGAACCAGCUUUUAUGCCUAUGUCAGACCGGGUUUGAGAAUCAAGCCCCAAGGUCGGGCCGGGUCUGGCUCGGGCAUGUAGGAACCAGCUUUUAUGCCUAUGUCGGACCUGGUUUGAGAAUCAAGCCCGAAGGUCGGGUCGAGCCGGGCUUGGGCCAGGACCCAACUUUUACGCCUAUGUCGGGUCGGGUUUGAGAAUCAAGCCCGAAGGUCGGACGGGCCGGGCUCGAGCCCGUGGGAACCAACUUUUAUGCCUAUGUCGGACCUGGCCUACGUGGACGGGCCGAGCUUCUACGGGUUGGGAUGGUGCUUGGGCCCACAAACUAGGCCCAACGGUUGGACCGGUCCGGGCCUGACUUUUGUACCGUCGGCUUUUUUAAGCCUCACCCGAGUUUUUUUUGAAUGUUGACACUAGAAGUGGCAAAUACAUUGAUGAGAAGGAGUUUCAAGAGCCCUUCGAGGCGGUAAGCACUACAAAAGGCAGCGCAAAAAAGAAAAGAAAGAAAAAAGACCCGCCUCGAGCACCACAAACACACACUCUACCUUCAAUCGAGGACACCAUGAGAACCCAUCAUCGGGAUCUCCAAGGUGACGCUUCCAAAGAGGGAAACGAUGUUGAAGACACCGUCUGUCACGCCCAACAUGCAACCCUAUCCUCAAUUUGGCACUAGGGCCUCGUCAGGGAUAGAAGCGCAUCUCGUCGUGUCGCAAGAAUGGAUAUCGGCGCAAGUACAUGUACUGAACAGAAGAGAUAUACAUAGAGUUGGCUUACACUCGACACAAGCUACAUCAGAAUCACCACAGUACAUUACAUAAACAUCAAGAGUAAGAGCAGGGUCCGACUACUGACGAAAACAAACGAGAAAAAGAAAGAACGACGUCCAUCCUUGCUAUCCCAGGCUCCCGGCCUUGAACCCAUCCUAGAUCGAUGAAGAAGAAGAAGAAGCAACUCCAAAUGAACAAUCAACGCGCUCGCGUCAAGUAACCUUUACCUGUACCUGCAACUGGUGUUGUAGUAAUCUGUGAGCCACAGGGGACUCAGCAAUCUCAUUUCCAAAGGUAUCAAGACUAGCAAAGCUUAAUGGGUAAGGCAUGGUUAAGUGGUGAGGUUGCAGCAGCCGCUAAGCAUAUAUUUGGUGGCUAAACUUACGAGUACAAGAAAACUAAGAGGGGGAAGAUCUACGCUUAGCGGACGUGAACUACGGAUGAUCAAAUGAAUGAUCCUGAACACCUACCCACGUCAGACAUGACCCCACCGUGUCCUCGAUCGGAGGAAGAACUCACGAAAGAGACAGUCACGGUUACGCACACAGUUGGCAUAUUUUAAUUAAAUUAACUUCAAGUCAUCUAGAACCAGUGUUAAACAAAGUUUCCACGUUGCCACAUUACCGCGGGCAGGGCUUUCCGAAAGAUUUAACCCUGCAGGGGUGCUCCAACUAGUCCAUGAUAAAUUACCACAAGCCGCAUAGAAAUCCUCAAUCACGAAGCUCGCGAUCUCGUCGGAUUCCCUAGUGGAAAACCUCAACUCUGAGAUUACCCAAAGCAUCACCGGAAUUCCGAUGCACAAGAUAUCUCGUCAAAGGUAAAACUAAUCCAGCAAGGCCGCCCGACGUUUCGACGUACCCGAUAGGAGCCGCGUAUCUCGUUCUCAGGACACGACGGAUGGAACUAGCUACGAGUGCCAAACCUCGAGUUUCCUCGCGGUGGCCCCGCAGGCAGACCGUUUGGGACCAACACCAUCAGCACUGGCCCCCCUUUUUAUGUAAAAUUACUCCUCGGGUAGCGCUAACUCCCUAUGCCAUUCAUUAUUAUCAAAAUUAUUAUGUUGGGCAAAUGUAAAACCAAUGUUGGGCCUUGCCAGACCAGCUUUAAUCUAAAACGAAUUAUCAAGGGGGUUCCCAUAACAACCCCGAUCGUGUUAGGAGCGCUCAAUUAUGGAACAUAACACCGGUAGCCGAAAACUAAGGGGGCAAAGGUGGAACAAAACACCAGGCUAGAAAGGCCGAGCCUUCCACCUUUUACCAAGUAUAUAGGUGCAUUAAAUUAAAUAGCAUCUAAUAUGGUGAUAUAACAAGGAACCCAUGCUUUCACAUGGAAGCAUCUGCACCUGCAACUAGCAACGCUAACAACAUGGAUAAGCAAGCGGUAACAUAGCCAAUCAGUGGUUUGCUAGGUCGAACAGGUUGAAGGUUAUCAUGGCAUUGUUGAGAGGCUGGUAUUUAACAUGUGGUAGGCAACGAGACAUAAUCGAUAGAUGCGAUAAAACUAGCAUGGCAAUGAUAGUAAUGGUAUCUGGGGAAAUGAUCAUCUUGCCUGAGAUCCCGCUUGGAAGAAGAAUGCCUCCGUGAAGCAGACGAACUGACGUAGUCGAACGGGUCCUCACAAUCCGGCACGUUGCGGAACUCUAUCGAGACGAAGCAAACCGGAAACACAAAUCAACACACGGAAUUCACCACACGAUGCACAACACAAAUGAUGCAUGAGCAGCUGAAUACAUGCAAGUCACGGCAUGACAAUUUCAGACAAUCAAAACUACACAUUAAGUGAAGUUCAAUAUGCGACGAUUUGCAUAUUGACGAAACUUCACAUAUGAAUUAUUUAGUUCACUCCCGGUUAUUUACACGGUAAUAUUAAUGUUGUCAAACAUGCGAGAGGUGAAGCGGAAAUUAAACUACCUACCUAGACAUUUUAAAUGAGGUCGGAAACGACAUAUAGCAUCUCCGGGACGACCUCACAUGUUAAUUUACAAUUCUGUCCAGAUCUGAAUUAACACAUUUAAUUAGUUGUUAAACAGCAAAACAAAUAGGUUCACGCGAUUCUACGCGUCAUUUCAAGCAAUUUACACAUAAAGAACAUCUCCAACGGAGCUACGGUUCAACAACUACGAGCAAAACAAGAAAUCACUACAAUAUGCCAAAAUCAGCCACAUAGCAUUUUCUCCGCGCCACAACUACGGGCUGCACAACUCCGUUAAACUCAUACAAGGCAUGGCACGGAAGAGGGCAAUAAGCACUACUACAAACAACUCACAACAACUAGAAUGGCAUCAUGGAUCACUAGGGAAAGAAGACACAAAAAUGGCUUCCCACACACUAUUUCAGACUUAGUGAAAAUAACACUUCAUGAAAUGCAGUUUUCGAUCUGAAGCAAUAUUGACAGCAGCAAAACCUGUAGCUACGGGACUCCAAAUGGCAUGAACAUCUACAGAAUGCUUGAGAAACACAAGGGGUACAACUAACUCCAUUGGACCAACCUCAAAAGAGCUACAGAUCAACAGUUAGAAGCAAGACAAGACAGCAACAAAAUAUAACAGAUUCCAGACUUACAAAUAUUUCAGCUCCUCUAAAACAGCACUAUUUCUAGCAACUUGAGAGCAAGCAAAACACACCUAAACAUGCAUUUCUAUUGCAACUAAAAAAUACCAGGGGCUAGUCUAAACAUCCAAGAACAACUCCCUAGUUGACAACCCCGUCAAACGAAGAACGGAUUAAAUCCUACGAAUUAAACAAAAGGGCAACAUAGCAAAAUAUCUCGCGAACUAACCUUCUCUAAUGCUAAAACUAAUUGCAUAGAAAAAUCCAUGGGAUUUUCCUACCCAGAAAACAUAUAAAAUAUGUGGGGUUGCACAACAAAAUAAUGGCACACGAAAAUGCGGGAAAGAUAACCUAUAUACGGGAAAAUAAACUACCGGCAAUCCAUACAUGCAAAAAUACCUAUGACCGCUCUAAAAUAAAUAGAAAAAUGAUCCCUAAAACAUGGACAUUUAAUCUACGGUAUACGGGCAGUCCGGACACGCGUGAAAAAUAAUCACGAGCACUAAUCUAAUGGGACAACAUGUUACUCUAGGCAAACAGUGGGUCAAACCUCAUCAAGCAUUUAUGCAAGUUGCAAAAACGAAUACUACGCGAAAUUCUACACCAAAUCGAUAUAAAGAUCACCUCGAUCCGACUUACGGAAUAUAACAUACGUACGUUUAAAAAUAUGGCAUUUUUCUGGAAACGGAAUAAAUCGCAAGAAAAAUAAAUAAAUACCUAAAGCCUAAAUGGGCCGAAAGCGCAGGCGCAUGAAAGCUAAAAGAUGCCCAGGGCGUUGGAUAGGGCACGGGUUAACUCACCUAGGGCCAUCGGGCCAUGAGAGGAGGCAGGCCGGUGCUGGGCGACUGGGCCGAGGCGCCGCGAGGCGGUGGGAGGCCUGCGGGGCAACUGGGCCAACUGGGCCGAGGCGACAGCCGGCUGGGCCACAUCGGCGCUGGCGCGGCAGGCCCAGGUGGCGGGGCGAGCGGGGCCGGCUGCCUCGGCAGCGCCACCUCGAACCGUCCUGUGCUCGAGCCUCAGCCAUGGUGGCCGGCUCGGCGAGCAGGAGGUGAGGCCGGGGCGAGGAUCCAGCAGGGGGGCCGGGGAUCGUGGGACCCGGCGAGAUCUGGCACGGCGGCGGUCGGCUCGCCGAAUCCGGUCGAUCUCAAGGCGUUGCGGGGCUCCGGCAGCGAACACGGGCACCAGCGAGAGGCGGCGCUUCGAGAGGACGGUGGGGCUGCGGGAGCCGGCGAACGGCGGCGCGGUGCUGCCGGCGGCGGGCACGGGGAAGCUCGGGGCGCGGGAGGAUGCUUCGGUGGGGCUCCAGCUGUGGGAGUUUGGCAAGAGCAGGGCCGGGGGCGAGCUCGAGGCUGCCAUGGAGGCGCUCGGGAGGAGGAGGCUCAGGCAGGGAGAAUGGGGCGGCGGCCGGAUGGGCUUCGGGUGGGCCGCGUGCGGGCUCGGGCGGGCCCGGCGGCUGGGGGGACGAGAGAGAGGUGGGAGGCUAGGGUUUGGUGGGGGCUGCACGGAAAACGAGGAGGAGAUAGUGGUAGGCUGCCUUAAAAAUAGGAGGGGUAUAUAUAGACAAACGGGGGGGCUAGGUUAGCCGGAAUUUCGUUUCGGAUCCAAUCGUGCGGUCGGAUUCGGACGAUUCUGAACACAGGUAUGGGUACGCGGCCGUGUAGAGGGGAUAUCCGGAGAUGAGACGGGAAAUGGGCGGCGCGGCAACGAUUUUUAAAACACCGACAAACGUCCGACGGUAGACCAAAGACGGUGCCGCUACGGACGACCGUUCGGGUACCAGACGAACUCCGAUCGCGCCGAAAUUCGACAGGCGGUUUCACUAAAACAAAUUACGACCACAUGCCAAGUUUCAUCUCGAUCGGAGAAACUUUAACGCACACUUUUAAAACAGGGUUUCGACGAUGCCGCGGGCGCGCGCGUGUGCGGUCGGGCUUAGAACGGACAACGACGCGAACCGGCAACUAACAACGGAUGCAACUUUUUGAAAAAUGGCGGCAACGGGAUGCCGAUGCAAUGCUGAUGAUGCGCAUGAUGCGAUGAUGAUGCAACAAAUUAAAAUAACCACACGACGAAAACGGAAUAGAAGGGGAAUCUUCUGGAACGUCGGCAUCGGGCUGUCACAACUCUGCUACACUACAAGAGGAUCUCGCCCCGAGAUCCAAGACUGAAAGGGGGAGAGGAUGAGAAAGAACAUGAGGUAAAACUUAGUCGCUUCUUUGACAAACGAGUGAAACCAAUGAUCCUUGAAGGUUGCAAAGAGAUGAGUAGUGACAUGGGAAAGAAGCAAGAAUUCACGGAAAAUUUCAGCAGCACUUCAGUAGGAAAAUGGGACAAAAAAAUCGAUACGAAGAGAGAAUUAGACAAUAUUCACAACAAACAAGUAAAUAGAGCACGGGAACACCAUGAUCUUGAUAGAACAACAUGAUUGACCCAAAAGAGCACAACACAAUGCCUCCACAACAAGAGAAUAAGAACUAACUCAUACGGAAGAAGAGAAUGAAGAAAAGAAUGACAACUACUAUCUCCAAUGAACUUGACAAGCACCCUUGCAAGGAGAAUUGAACGAAGUUGUUGGAAACAACAACGACAAGAACAAGAUAGUAGUGGGCUUAUGGAGACCUUUCAAACUAAUGAAGUGAGAACCAGCCAUUAAGAGAAACAAGGAUUGUUUGGGAGAAGCAAGAUAUGAACAAUUCUUACACCAAGAGGAUGCAUUGAGAACUUAGAUUAAAUACAAGCACCAUGAUAGCAACAAUCCAUAGGAAAAGCUUUAGGUGAAAUCCAAACCAAAAUAGCUCAAUGAAGAAAUCAUGGGUAGAAAAUAUCUCAUGAUCAAAGAAUUAGUGGAUUUAAUUAUCUCAUUCUUGAAAGGAAAUAUCUUCGAGGCUCCUACACUAACAAGAAUGCUAUAAUACCACCUCAAAGGAUAACGGAAGAACAAUUGCACAUAUAAAUGCAAGAAAAAUGAUACUUGAGGUUCUCCAACAAGAGUCUUGAAGAACAUUUGAGAAUGGAUUGAAACCUUGAUGAACCACCAAGAAGGACCUCCGUAUGAAUGAUGCAACGAUAAGAAGGUAGAAACGAAUAAGAUUAUGACCUUGCCAAAAUUUAGAUGAAGCUUCACAAAGAGAUACUAAAAGAACUUAGAACUCCGGAAAAGAAAGAUAAGCACGUGAGAAAAGAAUUGAAACUAUGAGCCACUCCGGAAGAAGAAAUCAGAUUACUAUGAUCAAGAAUAAGAGUUAUGUUAUGCUUAUCCUUCAUCAAGUUUAAUAGAUGACAAGCAGCGGAUUUAGCAUACAACUUAUUCUUCUUGAAAUGAAUCUUGAAGAGGCAGAGAGAUAAGCACCACUUGAGGCAUAAUUGAAGGAAGCACUGGUAAGAAUUCACACUUGAAUGGGAAAAAGCAAGAAUUAAUGGAGAUACAUGAGAAUGAAGAGAUCAUGACCCACCUGAAAGAAAACUUGAACAAGGCACCGGAUAAUCGAGAGACGGAUGAAGAGACAACAAAUGAGAAGAAUUGAGGAUGAAAGCUGAAAGUUGAGAACGAAGAAUCUUCUAAAAUGAUGGCCUUCGGAGGAACGAGAAUAAAAACAACUCAGAAAUGCACCGGAUAGCCAGAAACAGAUUCUCAUGAUUGGAAACAAAUUCAAGAUGAUAACACGAAGCUGAAAUGAUGAAUCUCCAAGAGAAUGGACCAAGAUUCAAGAGAAACACUCCGUCGGAUAGCAAGCUGAGAAUGAUCGAGAACAACACCAAGAAUUACUAAGACCUCCGGAAUAAUGAAGAAUGCAAGGUUGAGCCAAAUAUGAGAAUUAAUUCGAAUAGGUCUUGGAGAAGGUAUAUAACUGAUGAAAUUCAUACUUACGUCAUAGUUGAAAAGAAUUAAACAUCUCCGGAAGAUUACAAGAGCUAUAACAGAUCCUGGGAAAAACCUGUGGGUUAUGGGCCCACUCAAAGAAACCACCGUUGAAAAGGUUGCUAGAACGAGAGAUAUUGCAUCGGUACAAGAAAACUAGAUGAGGUUAGCACCUCGAAAUAACUAAAGAAUUGAGAACAAGAAUUCUGAGAUAACUUCAACGCUCCGGAUAGAAUAGAGAGAAAUGACAACAAGAAGAUAGACUGAUAAAAAAUUUCCAACAUAGGAAAGAAUUACAAGGAUGAAAAGGAUAUGAUGACACGGACAACUAAAUUAAAUUCACUGGAAAAAGAUAACCAGGUUGAAGGAAUGAUGAACUAAAACUCCUGAAAAUCUACACAAUGAAUCGCCGGGUAAGAGAGAAAAGAACAAACAGCGGUAGCACAAUGAAAAGAAAACUCGUGGAUGCAAAUUGAAUCAUUGAAGAAAAGGGUGGGAGGGCGGGGAAAAACAAAGACAACUUGGGACGGAUGAGACAAACUUCGAAAACAAAUGAGAGAUUGAUCUUGCAAAAUUGGAGAGGAUUGAAUUCACUUGAGGAGAAGCACACCGGUUGAAAAAGAAUUGACAUAACAACUCCGGUUGACAAAAGUUGAUAAGACAAUUGGUUGAGCAAAAGGAUUAGCACUCUCAUAUGAAUAUGAGAACACCGCUUAGAAAAGAUUUGAAAUCACCACUUGACCUCGAAGCAACUUAAAUUACCAUAUUCCAACAAAACGAAGGGUGAGGCUUAAGAAACAAGCCAGAACAAACUCAUGAGAAAGAUUUCGUCCGAUAUUUUCGUGGACAGGAUCGCACGGGCUCGAUUUUACAGUAGCCAUCAAGUGCAAGGCAGUGCACCCGACAUACGAAGCGUCCCCGAGUCGUAGCAAGCUACAAGGACUCUUUAAGACACAAUGUGUACCACUGUAAGUCGAACGUGAACAAACGAAUCCACUAGAUGUCGAACCCCAACCUAACAUCAUGUAUUUGUUGGAAGAUUGUCCUAUAAGCAACUACUUGAAUUCCCACCUAUGAAUUCCCGAAAUAUCUGGUCAUGCAAUCUGGUACACGGAUACAAGGAGUAAUAUCACGCAACUCCUAUACUAACCCGUCACCUGUAUCACAUCCGUCAACACAUGACCAGAAUAUCGGACCUUCAUCUACAACAGACCCUCGUGAUCACAACGAUACAAAGUAUGGCAGUACUCCCGAACAAUCUCCACGAGUACUGGGGACAUCGGGGUUAUCUCGCCACUACUAGUAUUGAAGCAAUUACGAACAUCCUUCGUUCUUAGAUACUAAGAAAUUUGAAUGAUAACGAUGUGCUCAAGAAUCCCCUGGAGCUCAACUCCCCUGAGACUUAGAGCAGAUAGGAGGCACCAAGACAGAACUCCGUCACAUCGGCAUCAUAUAGAUUCCAAGAAUAUUCGCGUGAUCCUAAAAAACAUUUGAGUGAGAAGAGGAGUAGAAUUAAAUUAUUACGUCAAGAUUCCUCACCAGAGCAUAGAAGAGGAGAAAAAAGAAUCCUACUCUCCGAAAUAUAACUAGACUCAAAUAGUUUUUCACUAGACUCGACUCGGCCAAGUUCGAUCAAUCAAGGGGGCUCCUAGGUCGGUACUGCUCUGAUACAAACUUGUCACGCCCAAGAUGCGACCCUAUCCUCAAUUUGGCACUAGGGCCUCGUCAGGGAUAGAAGCGCAUCUCGUCGUGUCGCAAGAAUGGAUAUCGGCGCAAGUACAUGUACUGAACAGAAGAGAUAUAUAUAUAGAGUUGGCUUACACUCGCCACAAGCUACAUCAGAGUCACCACAAUACAUUACAUAAACAUCAAGAGUAAGAGCAGGGUCCGACUAUGGACGAAAACAAACGAGAAAAAGAAAGAACGACGUCCAUCCUUGCUAUCCCAGGCUGCCGGCCUGGAACCCAUCCUAGAUCGAUGAAGAAGAAGAAGAAGCAACUCCAAAUGAACAAUCAACGCGCUCGCGUCAAGUAACCUUUACCUGUACCUGCAACUGGUGUUGUAGUAAUCUGUGAGCCACAGGGGACUCAGCAAUCUCAUUUCCAAAGGUAUCAAGACUAGCAAAGCUUAAUGGGUAAGGCAUGGUUAAGUGGUGAGGUUGCAGCAGCCGCUAAGCAUAUAUUUGGUGGCUAAACUUACGAGUACAAGAAAACUAAGAGGGGGAAGAUCUACGCUUAGCGGACGUGAACUACGGAUGAUCAAAUGAAUGAUCCUGAACACCUACCCACGUCAGACAUGACCCCACCGUGCCCUCGAUCGGAGGAAGAACUCACGAAAGAGACCGUCACGGUUACGCACACAGUUGGCAUAUUUUAAUUAAAUUAACUUCAAGUUAUCUAGAACCAGUGUUAAACAAAGUUUCCACGUUGCCACAUAACCGCGGGCACGGCUUUCCGAAAGAUUUAACCCUGUAGGGGUGCUCCAACUAGUCCAUCACAAAUUACCACAAGCCGCAUAGAAAUCCUCAAUCACGAAGGUCGCGAUCUCGUCGGAUUCCCUAGUGGAAAACCUCAACUCUGAGAUUACCCAAAGCAUCACCGGAAUUCCGAUGCACAAGAUAUCUCGUCAAAGGUAAAACUAAUCCAGCAAGGCCGCCCGACGUGUCGACGUACCCGAUAGGAGCCGCGUAUCUCGUUCUCAGGACACGACGGAUGGAACUAGAUACGAGUGCCAAACCUCGAGUUUCCUCGCGGUGGCCCCGCAGGCAGACCGUUUGGGACCAACACCAUGAGCACUGGCCCCCCUGUUUAUGUAAAAUUUCUCCUCGGGUAGCGCUAACUCCCUAUGCAAUUCAGUAUUAUCAAAAUUAUUAUGGUGGGCAAAUGUAAAACCAAUGUUGCGCCUUGCUAGACCAGCUUUAAUCUAAAACGAAUUAUCAAGGGGGUCCCCAUAACAGUCCGGACACGCGUGAAAAAUAAUCACGGGCACUAAUCUAAUGGGACAGCAUGUUACUCUAGGAAAACAGUGGGUCAAACCUCAUCCAGCAUUUAUGCAAGUUGCAAAAACGAAUAUUACGCGAAAUUCUACACGAAAUCCAUAUAAAGAUCACCUCGAUCCGACUUACGGAAUAUAAGAUACGUACGUUUGAAAAUAUGGCAUUUUUCUGGAAACGGAAUAAAUCACAGGAAAAAUAAAUAAAUACCUAAAGCCUAAAUGGGCCGAAAGCGCAGGCGCAUGAAAGCUAAAAGAUGCCCAGGGCGUUGGAUAGGGCACGGGCUAACUCACCUUGGGCCAUCGGGCCAGGAGAGGAGAAAGGCCGGUGCUGGGUGACUAGGCCGAGGCGCCGUGAGGCGGUGGGAGGCCUGCGGGGCAACUGGGCCAACUGGGCCGAGGCGACAGCCGGCUGGGCCACAUCGGCGCUGGCUCAGCAGGCCCAGGUGGCGGGGCGAGCGGGGCCGGCUGGUUCGGCAGCGCCUCCUCGAACCGUCCCGUGCUCGAGCCUCAGCCAUGGCGGCCGGCUCGGCGAGCAGGAGGUGAGGCCGGGGCGAGGAUCCAGCAGGGGCGGCCGGGGAUCGCGGGACCCGGCGAGAUCUGGCACGCCGGCGGUCGGCUCGCCGGAUCCGGUCGAUCUCAAGGCGUUGCGGGGCUCCGGCAGCGAACACGGGCACUAGCGAGAGGCGGCGCUUCGGGAGGACAGUGGGGCUGCGGGAGCCGGCGAACUGCGGCGCGGUGCUGCCGGCGGCGGGCACGGGGAAGCUCGGGGCGCGGGAGGAUGCUUCGGUGGGGUUCCGGCUGUGGGAGUUUGGCAAGAGCAGGGCCGGGAGCGAGCUCGAGGCUGCCAUGGAGGCGCUCGAGAGGAGGACGCUCGGGCAGGGAGAAUGGGGCGGCGGCCGGAUGGGCUUCGGGCGGGCCGCGCGCGGGCUCGGGCUGGCCCGGCGGCUAGGGGGAGGAGAGAGAGUUGGGAGGCUAGGGUUUGGUGGGGGCUGCGCGGAAAACGAGGAGGAGAGAGUGGUAGGCUGCCUUAAAAAUAGGAGGGGUAUAUAUAGACAAACGGGGGGGCUAGGUUAGCCGGAAUUUCGUUCAGGAUCCAACCGUGCGGUCGGAUUCGGAUGAUUCCGCACACAGGUAUGGGUACGCGGCCGUGUAUAGGGGAUAUCCGGAGAUGAGAGGGGAAAUGGGCGGCGCGGCAACGAUUUUUAAAACACCGACAGACGUCCGACGGUAGACCGAAGACGGUGCCGCUACGGACGACCGUUCGGGUACCAGACGAACUCCGAUCGCGACGAAAUUCGACAUGCGGUUUCACUAAAACAAAUUACGACCGCAUGCCAAGUUUCAUCUCGAUCAGAGAAACUUUAACGCACACUUUUAAAACAGGGUUUCGACGAUGCCGCAAGCGCGCGCGUGUGCGGUCGGGCUCAGAACGGACAACGACGCGAACCGGCAACUAACAAUGGAUGCAAGUUUUUGAAAAAUGGCGGCAACGGGAUGCCGAUGCAAUGCUGAUGAUGCGCAUGAUGCGCAUGAUGAUGCAACAAAUUAAAAUAACCACACAACAAAAACGGAAUAGAAGGGGAAUCUUCUGGAACGUCGGCAUCGGGCUGUCACACAGUCAUCACUCGAUCUGGCACUUCCUAAACUUAGGUUUUCACCCGGAAAUCUCACGCUAUUUGGUAGGAAGGACGAACGACACCAUAACGAUACCUCCAAGAAGGAAGACGACACCCCAGGGUGCCAUUACCGCCGGCAACAACCGAGACGAUGCAUGAUUUUCAUCCGGAGUCGGACCUUCCACUAACAAUCCCGGGAUCCGAGGCCACCAACGCCAAGUAGCAGCACAAGCCCAAGCAAACACUACCAGCAACGAAAUGGUCGAAGCCGCAAGCAAAAAACUCGGCGAGCAAGUGCCAACCUAACUGGUCCGCACCGCCGCUCGUAGGCCUUGGGCGAGCCAAGCCGGAUCUGGCCAACUUCGACCUCCGUGUGCAGAACUGGACGAUCCUCCGCACCGCAGCGCACACGAAAGGUCGAAGGAGCGCCAUACAUAGUCGUUCUGCGCCGCCGCGUGCAAGACUAGGUAGGACCCAAGCCAAACUACGCAGCCCGCGCCCCUGCGCGUAGGAAAAGGACCAUUCAUGUUGGAUCUGGUCUAUCCGAGACUCAUGUAGCACCCGACAAACAGGACGAUGCCACAACUCGAGGAGCCGGACGUGGACGCGCUCGAAGGAGGCCACCACUCCCCAACACCACCGCUACAGCCACCACAAGCGAAAGGCAGUCGAACCAACCACGCAACGCAGCCAUGAUUCAAUGCAUCUAAAGCAAUCUCUCGCAAGGCACUCCAUCCACAAUCUCGCACACGCCAGAUCUGCCCCGGCUAACUGCAGUUCCCUACAUACCCACGGCACGCGAACAAGCAAUAGUCGCGCGGAUGCCAGCCUAAGCAAGUCGCAACGCGCCCACAUGCGCGCUGCACCCUGCCAAGCGCCAUGGCGCUAGCAUGGCGCACCAUCCACGCCCGCCGGCACCGGCUCGCCAUGCCCACCACGCACCACGACGUCGUGCCCGAUGCAUCCACCGACACCGGCUCGUCGCGCCCCCCAUACCUCUUCUCGGGCGGGCAGCCUCGUGCUACCCACUCCUCUCCAGAAGGGAAAAAAACAAAGAGCCCUGUCGUCGUCACCGCCGCACGGGCUUUUCCUGGCAGCGCUUGCCCGUGGGGGCGAGGCGAGAAGGAUAACAGGGAGGUCGAGGUUCCUAGCGGCUAGGGUUUUGCUAGGGUCGGCCGUGGGUGGACGACAGAGGCGCCCGUUUGGCGGCGUGACCCGAGUUUGGGCUAGGUAUACGAGAGAUCAUGGGUGACUUCCAAUCCCAUGAUGAAAUCAUUAGGGCCCACACCACUCACAUAGUCAAUGAGAGUUUGAUUUAGCUCUCACACUUGGCAUUUACUAGCUCCCUUUCAUUGUUCCUGAACCCAGUUUGAUUUAGCUCUCACACUUGGCAUUUACUAGCUCCCUUUCAUUGUUCCUGAAUCCUGGUUGAGUUAGAGCAUCUCUAACCGUCUUUGUAUAUUUGACUAGAAUUGCUAAAAACUGGAAAUAUAGUAACUUGGCCCCAAAAUCUUGCUCCAACAGCCUUUGUAUAACUGGUUUCCCAUAAAUUGUUUUACAAUGAUUGCUAUAUUUGUAUCAACAUUUGGUAUAUUUGCAAAGUGGAGAGACACUUGCUAUAAUUUUUAGCAGUCCGGUUUUUGUGGUCCCUUAUAUCCCUUUGUUUCAUUGACAAGUGGACCCCAUCACCCCCUGGAUUCUUGUUGUCCCGGUACUGGCACAAGUCCCCGUGUAUCAUUGAGAGGCUUGCUAAAUUUUAUAGCAAUACUGUUGGAGCAAAAAAACUGUUGGGUUGCUAAAUCUUCUCUUUCUCCUCGCUAUUCCUAGUUUUUAACAAGUCACAAUAACAAUGUUGUUGGAGAUGUUUUAUCCGGCAAUUUCUCCUUCAUUUCUGGGUUAGCUACGAGCCUAGAUAAAGUUGACACUUGAAACCUCUUCUUUGCGUCUGAAAUGAUGAGCUUCUCCAACAAGUUGUCCAUCCACCGUGACGCCGCAAAGGAACCAAACUACAUAGAGAAGCGCUCAACUUUAGUUCCAAGAGACUAGAAGCCUACCCACCCACUGUGCAACUUGCAAUUUCUUCUAAAUCGCAACGACGUCGAUGUCGACGUAGAAAUUUAAUCUCUGAACUUGGACACCACCGCGAGAUAAAAUCGAGGCGAGUUAGCAACAGCUUUACGCCCUACCGAACCAGGUGCUGAUCAGGGCUAACUAGCAGCAAUGAACAAGUAGUACUAUGUGAAUGCAAUCAACCAUGCUCGAAAAGCCCCUCUCGACAUUGAUCGCCAACAAUUUAUGACAUUGAUCGCCAACAAUUUAUGUGUAUCAGUUGCAGUUCGCUCUCUCAUGUACUCAGGCACAAACCCUUCCACCACGGCCGUGCAGAAACUAUGGAAAGACAUGAGACAUGUGGGUUCACUCAUACGAACAUACUCACCCACAAGAUCACUAGGAAUUCCAUAUGCAAGCAUACGGAAAGCCGAUGUGCAUUUCUGGUAUGAAGAGAAUCCAAUCUUAUGUAGGGCAUCCUCUUUGCAUUCAAAGUAUGGGUGAUGUGCAAUCACACCCUCGUGAAUAUGAUUGAACACAUGUCUUCUCAUUUGAAAUUGGCGACAAAAUUGAUUUGACCUCAAGAGUACACCGUCCUUAAAGUAAUCGACAUAGAGAAGGGUGUGGCCUUUCUCCCUAUUGUGGUUCAAGGCCGGAGCAUGGCCGGGGAUUAACCACGUGAACCGAGGGUGCUUCCUACUAAUGUGUUCAUGCACGACCAACGCAGCAGCCAGCUCUUCAUCAUCCGAUGAUGAAUCAACCGAUGAGCAAAUGAAGUUGUGAAAGAAAAACUCACCACCACUAUCCAUUGUAACUUGCGAGCUAUCCGUCGAACGCCUUGCGGCCGUGCUGGCCGUAGUAGUUGUUGCACGUCCUGCUCCCCUUGCAGGCGACGACAGCCGGCCGGAGUACAUGAUGCUGGAGGGAGCCAUGCGGCAACGAACAGCCAGUCGGAGGAGGUCUGGAAUGACGAGUGAUGCCGGCUACCGUAUCUAUCUCUCACAUCGGUGCCAAAGAUAUCCUCGGUCAAAUGCUUUAUGGAAAGCCGGUGCAAACAUAACUAUGGCAUGGCGUGGUGCUUCGACAGCCUUUGUGAAAAACGACGCGGCCGGGAAGGGUGGCGGCCGUGGCAAUUCCGAGGGGCGAAGGGAUGUAGAGAAAGAGAAGAUGGGAGAUUGUGUCCCUGAUGGGCGAGCCAGGGCAGAACAAGGGUACGCGUCGCUCGGGCCCGUGCAUGUUCAUUCGGCCGCACACUCGAACCAAACUUGGAUCAAGAAUGGAUUAUAAACGGACACAAAACAAAUGACAGACCGUUUGCACUAGUGGGGACAGGGCCUAUAGUCCCGGCCCGUAAGGGGCUUUAGUCCCGGUUCAACAACCGGGACCAAAGGGGCGGGACUAAAGGCCUAACCUUUAGUUCCGGCCGUGUUCCAAGCCGGGACCAAAGGUGCUCCACGUGGGCGCCUCGGAGCGCCCUCAGGGGCAGGCCCUUUAGUCCCGGGUCUUAACACGGACCGGGACUAAAGAGUUUCAAAUUUUGUUUAUUUUUGGGUUUUAGGGUUUUAGGGUUUAGGUGUUCGGGAGAUUAACGUGAUGCCUCGUUUGGUGUUCGGGAAUUAGUUUUCAUAUAAUUCUAAAUAGAAAUAAUUAUGCAUAUAUAUAUAAGAUUAACUUAUGUUACAAGCGAGCAUAUAUAUACAAUUAUAUGGAGAUCUGAAUUAUCGGGACUAGAGCCCGUCUAUUCGAUUACAUGGACCAACAUGAGUAAUGGCCCCUAGCUACACUAAAUCGUCCUUUGUCAUCCAUAGCUUCCGUCCUCAGAAAGGUCGCAAGCUCCUCUGCAACAGCAAUCACGCGUUGCUCUGGUAGGGACUUAUCCCUCAUGGCCGUGUACUAUAUAAGAAGAGGAGAUGAAUAUGAAUAUCAAUCAUGAUAACAAAGAAUGACGGGUAAAAAUAGAGGUGUGAAUGUUCAUUGCUUACGUCGAAUCUGUGAUCCUUGUGCUCAGAGGUAAACAUGCGAAUGGUCUCGCAAACAUAGUAUCCGCAUAGAUGCGUCCCCCGUGGCUGCUGGUCGCACUUUACGAGAAUAGAAUAUAUAUAAUCAAAAUAAUAAUCUAGCAUCAUAAAUGUAUUGAAAAUAGAAGUAUAUCAUACUACUACUUACCCGAGCCGCUCUAAAGGUCAGCUUCUCAGGCUCGAUACCGGGAGUCACACACUUGAACCGUUUCCAAACCCUGCCCGACAAGGAUAAUGAUUUGCUAAGUUUUUCAUUAAUUGAUAUAUCAGAAAAUCAUCGAAAGAGACCGAUAGAGCGCAAGAAUGAUUGAAAUUACCCUUGGAGCAUGUCCUGUAGGCUUUGGAACUGUUCCAAGGGUCUCAAUAAUGGGUCGAAGGCAUCAACUCUUCCCUUAUCAAUUUGAAUGUCCAACAGAAUCCAAUGGAAGCUGCACAUGUAUAUAUAUAUAUAUGUGUGUGUGUGUGUGUCAGUAACUUAUCAAUUACACUUAUAAGUGAAUGGACACAACAGAGUAAAGACCCUCACCUGAAGUUGUAUGGAAACAGUAUGUGGUCACAGAAAUUUUGAUCUGUUAGAAACCUUAGAAGGUUUUCCUCCGUCUCCUUGGGUUUAUCAGUUAGCGUCGCUAUAUGUAUUUUAUCUGGGUCAAUAAACCCAAUAUUUAGGAUGUUCCUAUUUUUACAAUCCAGAAUCUUCAUUCUGCAUAAUAGAGUACAAGUUAUAUAUAGACAAUGAAUUCAAAUAACUAAACAAGUUAUAUGUAGACAACGAAUUGAAAAACUUACAGACAAUAGCAACUCAUAAGCGAUUUGUCGAGGGCGUCGGCAUUGUACAUCUGGAAGAGUUCAUCAAAGUCGAUAUGGAUUUCUUUGGGGAGGCCAUAGUACUCCCGUGGGACACUCACCACGAUCGUCGUUCUCCCAUUCUUUGAUUCACUUAAGUACCAUGUAUGCAAGUAACGCAUAUUUGUUGGAAGAUCAUCUUUGCUGACCAAAGGCGCUCCCAUGACAAACUGUGGCUUAGGGGCUAGCACAGCCUUGGGUAACCUGUCGUCUUGGGAAGCCAGAAUGUCUUCAACCGGGAUACCCCAUUCAUUCGCCCACUUCGUUGCUAAUUCCAAAUCUUGCCCCUGCACCAGAGGGGGGACAUUCUCGGGUAACACCGUGAGGGGUGGGAUCAACUGUGGCCUGUUGUCCAAGCUGAGGAACGUCUGAUCUUUUUUUUGCUCCCACUUGCACUUGCACGUGAUCUGCUCUUUUUCACUUCCUUCUGCAAUGUGCGUGUAUAGUCAUCAGGCUUAUGGUGUAAGUCAUACUGUGAUGGAAGGGUCGUGAAGUAUUUUGCAUAUGCUAUUUGCUUCUCGGUGUAUUCCGGGCGGGGCUUGGGUUCCUUCUUUUUCAUCUGCGCAUCAUGAUGUUCCUUUGCUAUCCUGGCGUUUUCCUCGGGGGUACGAUCAUAAGGUCUGAUAGGAAGAUUAGCAUGAGGUACCUUUGGGAGGGGCGACAGUUUGCGCUUUGGGGGGCUCCGUCACUUAGAAAUCAUCGGCGGAGCGUUCUUGGUGGCACGCUUCCGCUUAGUAUCCGGAGCGGGCGGCGGCGGAGACGGACGACCCAAGUCCGGCGGCGGUGAUCGAGAUGGACUCGUGUUGUGCUGGCCGACGUCAUGUGGAGGGCUUGGAGGUAAUGGAGGUGUAGGUGACCUGCGACGACUCGGAGGCGGUGUUGUCCUUGGGGCCGAGCCUGGAAGCUUGAUGUAGUUCUUGUCCCAUAGGAUGACUCCACCCAGUACUUCUCCGAGUGUCCUCUCAUCUUCGGGUCCAGCUAUGUCGAGCUCCAUAUCAUGAAACCCCGCCAUGAUUUCAUCCACCCCGACUUUAGCAAAGCCAGCUGGAAUCUCACGGUCAUGCGAGCGUGCAUCAGGGCCAGAAGGUAAAGCUUGUCCGACGGCCACCUUCAUGGAUAUGUUCUUGAAUUUCUGAUGGAGUUCACAUGAUGUUGACUCCUUGAUUCCAUCCACGGGGUAGCCGGGACCGCCCUCUAUCAUUCUUCGUGCAUCGUCGGGCGGGGCCUCAGAUUCAGCCACGCUGCUUUUCCACUUAGAUGGGGCGUCGGUAAUAUCAAGUGCAGGAUCUUCCUGGCGCGCUACUCCUCUAAGCUCAUCAAUCUGCUUCUGUUGCUCGUUAAUCCUGGCGAGAAACUGGUUGAACUUGUCAUUCUCCUCAUCCUGCUGCCGCUUCUUUGCUCUCGCUCGGCUUGUGUAAGUGUCUUGGUCUUUGGCAAACCUAAGCCACCACGGGUAAGAAGGACCGAAGCCUCGUGUUCGUCCUCCAUGUUCGUCAUUGCCGAGGACCAGUGUGAGAAAAUCUUUCUCUCUAUCUGCAGUGAACUUUCUUUUUCCCUCCUUAAUUUCUUUCACUAUCUUUUUCCAAUUCUCCCUGGGUAUCCUAAGACCGUCACUGCAGAUGAGGUCCCCUGUUUCUUCGUCGUACGAACCACCAUGCGCAAGGAACCAAUUUCUUGCUCUCAAUUCGCACUCAUCACGGAGUGGUUCAGGUAUGAUGCCUUUAGCUAGCAGAUCUUGCUCUUUCUUAUCCCACUUUGGGAUGGCAGUCUCAUAGCCCCCUGGCCUCAGCUUGUGGUGAUAUUUCUUCUUGUCGGCAUUUUUCUUGUUCUUUUCUGAUAAUGCCUGGGCAUCUUAUGACUCCUUGUACUCUUGAAAUGCCUUCCACUGAUUUGCCUGCUUGGCUAGAUACCCCUCGAAUAUUGGCACUUUCUUUUACUUCAGAUAGUUUUUCCAUAGCUUCUUCUUCCAGCUACGGAACAGUUCGGCCAUCUUCUUUAGAGUCCACUGCUUGACUUUGGCCCUCAGUUUGUCUGCGGCGUCUUCAUUCUCACAUUCUGGCAGGUUGAAAUGUGACAUGAGAUCAUUCCAAAGAUUAUCUUUGUACCUUUCGGCGACAUAGUCACUAUCGGCUGCCCCUUUGCGCUUGUUCCACUCCCGAACGCUGAUCGGGACGUGAUCCCUAACGAGAACUCCGCAUUCCUUCUUGAAUGUGUCAGCAGCAUUCUUAGGAAGCUUGGGUUCGCCCGUAGGCAAUAUCACCUCAAAGGUGUAAUGCGUCCGUGCAUCCAACUUUCUAGUCGGGCCUCGUUUCAUAGCUUUGCUCGAUGUGGAGGCCUAAGAGGGAGAAACAUUCGUCAAAUGAAUGUAUAUGUAUACAAUAUACAGCUAUCUCCAAUAUUUUUCACAUAUUACAAGUGAUUGUCGAACUUCGUAUGUAUACCUUGCUGGACUUUAUUAUUUCUCCACCGGCUUCUCCAUCAGUGGAGCUAUCACCUUCUCCGUCAUUGGACCUAUCUCCUGCCUCAUCGGCUUCAUCUUCGUGUCGGUCGACCUCCAUUCCAUAUCCGUAGGGGUUUAGAUAUGACGACGGAGAUUCAACUGGUUCAACGUCGGGGCCGUCUUUGAUUAUAUCUUCGAGAAGUUCUUCCUCUUCGAGGUUCCUGAUAUGUGGAUCCAUAGUUCUGCAAAAAACGGACAUUUGAUUAACUAAUAAACUAAUAAACUAUAUAAGAGGGGUUGGAAACUUCGAAGUGUCGUUUUAUAUAGGAGGACCUUUAGUCCCGGGUCUUGGAUAGAACCUAAACUCUAAAAUAUGUCUAACGGAUUCUCUUAACCUUUAAGGAUUUAACAAAAUGGCGACAUUCUAGAUGUGUAGAAAAUGAUCCUAUUUUUCCUGAUCUCAUCUACCCUUCUAUGUGUCACAUUGUCUAGUGUCAAAGGACUUUGUUGAACUUUGUACCAAAAAAGAAUUAUUCUAUCAGGAACUCCGUUCCAAAACAACUUUAGUCCCGGGUCGUGGCUCCACCCGGGACUCCUAGAUUUCUGCAUAGUAUUCAAAGUAGGAGUACAUUUCCAAUAUGAGCAUUCAAUAAGCAAAACCAAAUCGUAAAAUAAAGUAGUAUUCAAAUUAGCAUGCAUUCAAUUAUAAGCAAAACUACAUCAUCUCUUUUGUCCGUACAUCGUCGAAUAUUAUCACUAAUACUCCUCGAAUACUAUCAUACAUAUAGCAUCAAUGAUACAUCUAGAACCGUAGCGCCCGACGGGUAUCGUCGCGGGCGGUGGACACCCAAAGAGAAGGAACCAUCAUAGGAUCAUAGCUCCAGUGAGAUACCUGAAGAACCUGCCAGGUAUGCUCGAACCUGCCCUCCAACGCAACCAUGUAGCGACGGACGUGCUCAUCCUCCUCGCUGACACGGUGACGUAUCACCUCCGCGGUGUCCGGAAGCCUCGGCACCGUCACUGGCCCACGCGACCGCCACCAAACAAGGAUCGGGUCAACAACGGGCUCGCUCCUCACCAACCUAUGCCCCCCGGAAGGUAGCACCUCCCAAUACCAGCCGGGCGGAGCCCAGUCCCAGACAUGGCCCUCUGAUCAAGCAGGUGUCCUCCGCCGAGUUGACGACGAGGAUGCGGGAUAGGCAUCGUAAAAUGAACUAAAAAUAUAAACUAGUUCUAUUAAUUUUCUUGCUAAAAAUAAACUAUUAACACUUAAGCAUAUACAAUAGAAAAAUUAAACUAUUAUCACUUAAGCAUAUACAAUAGCAAAAUUAAGCAAUAAUCUAAGAAACACUAAUUAAGCAUCUAUAUACGUAGAAAUGUCUUCUUCUUCUUUCUUAUUUUAUUCUCCGCUUCUUCUUCAACUUCUCUUCUUCUACUUCUCCUCUUCUUCUAUUUUUCUUCUUCUUCUCCUCUCCUCCUCUUAUUAUUCUCCUUUUUCUUCUUUUCUUCUCCUCCUCUUCUUAUUUUCCUUUUUCCUAAUCUUAUUUUCUUAUUUUUGUUCAUCUUUCUUCUUCUUGUAACCCUAAACUAAUUCUAAAUAUUACUAACCCUAAUAAUCUAGCACAAACCUAAUAACAAUAGGAAUUAAAUGACAAAAAAAUAUUUUUCUUUUUCUUCUUUUCUUCUCCUUUUUCUUCCUUUCUUCCCUUUUUCUUCCUUUCUUCUCCUUUUUCUUCCUUUCUUCUCCUUUUCUUCCUUUCUUCUCUUUUUCUUCCUUUCUUCCCCUUUUUCUUCUUUUCUUCUCCGUUUCUUCUUUUCUUCCCCUUUUCUUCUUUUCUUCUCCUUUUUCUUCUUUUCUUCUCCUUUUUCUUCUUUUCUUCUACCGGCCGGAGUGUUGGGGAGGAGGGGGCGGGGGGCUUACCGACCGGAGGCGUCGACGACGGCGAGGAGGACGGCAGGCGGCGGCGAGGAGGACGGCGGCGGUGAGGAGGACGACGACGGCGAGGAGGACGGCGGGCAGCCUGACGGCGUCGUCGAGUUUGUCGGUGUGCCGCGCCGGGCAAGAGAACGAGGAAGAAGGAGAGAGCGAAAUGUGAUUUGGGUUGGAAAUUUUCUAACUCCCGCUUAUAUAUGUGGACCUUUAGUCCCGGUUCGGGGCUGGAACCGGGACUAAAGACACCCUUUAGUCCCGGGUGGAGCCACGACCCGGGACUAAAGGCCCUUUUUCGGCAGACCAAAAGGCGGGAAGCAGGGGCCUUUAGUCCCGGGUNNNNNNNNNNNNNNNNNNNNNNNNNNNNNNNNNNNNNNNNNNNNNNNNNNNNNNNNNNNNNNNNNNNNNNNNNNNNNNNNNNNNNNNNNNNNNNNNNNNNNNNNNNNNNNNNNNNNNNNNNNNNNNNNNNNNNNNNNNNAUUUUGUUAUUUUCAAUUGAAAACUAUGUUAAUUAAAAUUCUUUUUGCAUAUUUGAGAAUUUGACAAGAGGACUCGAGUCCCGGGUCGAGGCUCGAGCAUGGACUAAAGCCCCUCCGCUGGCUGCACGAUAAGUUUAGUCCCACCUCGCCCAGCGAGGGGGACUAACACUAGUUUAUAAGCCCAGUCGCAGCAUCUCCAUCGAGCUCCUCUCUAAAGCAGGUUUACGGGCCUAAACUCAGUGUAAAUUUGAAAAUUGAAACUAGAUUCAAAAUUAUGGAGAAAAUUCAACCUGAAUUCAAAGUGAGGCCACUUUGAAUUUCGGUUGAAUUUUCUCUAUAAAUUCUCAUAUAGUUUCAACUUUUUUCUAUUUUCAAAAUUAAUUAUUUUGACUAUCCAAACAAUUAACUAUUUUGUUACUUUCAAUUAAAAACUAUGUUUAUCAAAAAUUCUUUUUGGAUAUUUGAGAAUUUGAUAAAACUAUGAAAAUGAAAAGUGUUUGAAAUUGAAUAAAUAGUUCAAAAAUAUUUUCUAUUUUCAAAAUUAAUUAUUUUGAUUAUCCAAACUACUAACUAUUUUGUUAUUUUCAAUUAAAAACUAUGUUUAUUAAAAUUCUUUUUGCAUAUUUGAGAAUUUGACAAAACUAUGAAAAUGAAAAGUGUUUGAAAUUNNNNNNNNNNNNNNNNNNNNNNNNNNNNNNNNNNNNNNNNNNNNNNNNNNNNNNNNNNNNNNNNNNNNNNNNNNNNNNNNNNNNNNNNNNNNNNNNNNNNNNNNNNNNNNNNNNNNNNNNNNNNNNNNNNNNNNNNNNNNNNNNNNNNNNNNNNNNNNNNNNNNNNUUUUGACUAUCCAAACUAUUAACUAUUUUGUUAUUUUCAAUUAAAAACUAUGUUUAUUAAAAUUCUUUUUGCAUAUUUGAGAAUUUGACAAAACUGUGAUAAUGAAAAGUGUUUGAAAUUGAAUAAAUAAUUCAAAACUAUUUUCUAUUUUCAAAACUAAUUAUUUUGACUAUCCAAACUAUUAACUAUUUUGUUAUUUUCAAUUAAAAACUAUGUUUAUUAAAAUUAUUUUUGCAUAUUUGAGAAUUUGACAAAAUUAUGAUAAUGAAAAGUGUUUGAAAUUGAACAAAUAAUUCAAAACUAUUUUCUAUUUUCAAAAGUAAUUAUUUUGACUAUCCAAACUAUUAACUAUUUUGUCAUUUUCAAUUAAAAACUUUUUUUUGAGCUAGUUGACCCUAAAAUUGAAAAGCACUACAAAUGAACUCUAAAAAUGUUGAAAGUUGGCAUGNNNNNNNNNNNNNNNNNNNNNNNNNNNNNNNNNNNNNNNNNNNNNNNNNNNNNNNNNNNNNNNNNNNNNNNNNNNNNNNNNNNNNNNNNNNNNNNNNNNNNNNNNNNNNNNNNNNNNNNNNNNNNNNNNNNNNNNNNNNNNNNNNNNNNNNNNNNNNNNNNNNNNNNNNNNNNNNNNNNNNNNNNUGUUAAAAAGUUGAGAGGUUUACGACAAAAACUGGAUGCACUUCGUGUACAAAACGGACAAUCUCUCUCGAAGUAUUAGGGUUUCGAACGAGAACUCAUCUCAUACAAAGGGAUUUCAUUGUUUUGAACUUAUUUGAACUCCAUACUUUUUGUGUGUUCAAAAUGCACCAUUCAAAGNNNNNNNNNNNNNNNNNNNNNNNNNNNNNNNNNNNNNNNNNNNNNNNNNNNNNNNNNNNNNNNNNNNNNNNNNNNNNNNNNNNNNNNNNNNNNNNNNNNNNNNNNNNNNNNNNNNNNNNNNNNNNNNNNNNNNNNNNNNNNNNNNNNNNNNNNNNNNNNNNNNNNNNNNNUUCAACAAUUUCUGACUUCAUUUGGUAUUCUUCGUGCAUUUUUUUUUGAGCUAGUUGACCCUGAAAUUGAAAAGCACUACAAAUGAACUCUGAAAAUGUUGAAAGUUGGCAUGCUAUCAUCAUUUCACCCACAUAGAAUGUGUUAAAAAGUUGAGGGGGCUACGACAAAAACUGGAUGCAUUUCGUGUACAAAACAGAUAAUCUCUCUCGAAGUAUCACGGUUUCGAACGAGAACUCAUCUCUUACAAAGGGAUUUCAUUUUUUUGAACUUAUUUGAACUCAAUACUUUUUGUGUGUUAAAAAUGCACCAUUCAAAGGCACAUCAAAAAAUUUCAACAAUUUCUGACUUCAUUUGGUAUUCUUCGUGCAUUUUUUUUGAGCUAGUUGACCCUGAAAUUGAACAGCACUACAAAUGAACUCUGAAAAUGUUGAAAGUUGGCAUGNNNNNNNNNNNNNNNNNNNNNNNNNNNNNNNNNNNNNNNNNNNNNNNNNNNNNNNNNNNNNNNNNNNNNNNNNNNNNNNNNNNNNNNNNNNNNNNNNNNNNNNNNNNNNNNNNNNNNNNNNNNNNNNNNNNNNNNNNNNNNNNNNNNNNNNNNNNNNNNNNNNNNNNNNNNNNNNNNNNNNNNNNNNNNAAGUUGAGAGGGCUACGAAAAAAGCUGGAUGCACUUCGUGUACAAAACGGACAAUCUCUCUCGAAGUAUCAGGGUUUCGAACAAGAACUCAUCUCUUACAAAGGGAUUUCAUUUUUUUUGAACUUAUUUGAACUCCAUACUUUUUGUGUGUUCAUGCACCAUUCAAAGGCANNNNNNNNNNNNNNNNNNNNNNNNNNNNNNNNNNNNNNNNNNNNNNNNNNNNNNNNNNNNNNNNNNNNNNNNNNNNNNNNNNNNNNNNNNNNNNNNNNNNNNNNNNNNNNNNNNNNNNNNNNNNNNNNNNNNNNNNNNNNNNNNNNNNNNNNNNNNNNNNNNNNNNNNNNNNNNNNNNNNNNNNNNNNNNNNNNNNNNNNNNNNNNNNNNNNNNNNNNNNNNNNNNNNNNNNNNNNNNNNNNNNNNNNNNNNNNNNNNNNNNNNNNNNNNNNNNNNNNNNNNNNNNNNNNNNNNNNNNNNNNNNNNNNNNNNNNNNNNNNNNNNNNNNNNNNNNNNNNNNNNNNNNNUGGAUGCACUUCGUGUACGAAACGGACAAUCUCUCUCGAAGUAUCAGCGUUUCGAACGAGAACUCAUCUCUUACAAAGGGAUUUCAUUUUUUUGAACUUAUUUGAACUCCAUACUUUUUGUGUGUUCAAAAUGCACCAUUCAAAGGCACGUCACAAAAUUUCAACAAUUUUUGACUUCAUUUGGUAUUCUUCGUGCAUUUACUUAUUUUUUUUGAGCUAGUUGACCCUAAAAUUGGAAAGCACUACAAAUGAACUCUGAAAAUGUUGAAAGUUGGCAUGCUAUCAUCAUUUGACCCACAUAGCAUGUGUUAAAAAGUUGAGAGGGCUACGACAAAAACUGGAUGCACUUCGUGGAUAAAACGGACAAUCUCUCUCGAAGUAUGAGGGUUUCGAACGAGAACNNNNNNNNNNNNNNNNNNNNNNNNNNNNNNNNNNNNNNNNNNNNNNNNNNNNNNNNNNNNNNNNNNNNNNNNNNNNNNNNNNNNNNNNNNNNNNNNNNNNNNNNNNNNNNNNNNNNNNNNNNNNNNNNNNNNNNNNNNNNNNNNNNNNNNNNNNNNNNNNNNNNNNNNNNNNNNNNNNNNNNNNNNNNNNNNNNNNNNNNNNNNNNNNNNNNNNNNNNNNNNNNNNNNNNNNNNNNNNNNNNNNNNNNNNNNNNNNNNNNNNNNNNNNNNNNNNNNNNNNNNNNNNNUUUUUUUGAGCUAUUUGACCCUAAAAUUGAAAAGCACUACAAAUGAACUCUAAAAAUGUUGAAAGUUGGCAUGUUAUCAUCAUUUCACCCACAUAACAUGUGUUAAAAAGUUGAGAGGGCUACGACAAAAACUAGAUGCACUUCGUGUACAAAACGGACAAUCUCUCUCGAAGUAUGAGCGUUUCGAACGAGAACUCAUCUCUUACAAAGGUUUAUUAAAAUUCUUUUUGCAUAUUUGAGAAUUUGACAAAACUAUGAAAAUGAAAAGUGUUUGAAAUUUAGUACAUUCCGUACAUGCAUUACAUAAAAGGUUUAAUACAUUAUUACAUUAUUGCAUCAAUAUUCCUAUCUAUUAUUUAUGUUUUCUUGUGGGUCGUAGCCAUGGAGGAUCUUCAUCAUUCAGUAGGAUGCUUAUUAUAAUCUUCUGACAUGUCUGUCUUGUCAUCUACUCCCACGAUGUUUCUUUUCCCUGAAAGAACUAUGUGGCGUUUUGGCUCAUCGGACGAUAUCUUCUUUUGCUGAUUUCUUUUUCUCGUUUUUGUAGACAUGUCCUUCACAUAGAAAACCUGAGCGACAUCAUUGGCUAGGACAAAUGGUUCGUCCAUGUACGCAAGAUUGUUGAGAUCCACUAUUGUCAGGCCGUACUUUUGGUCUACAACCACCCCGCCUCCUGUCAGCUUCACCCAUUUGCACCGAAACAAAAGGAUCUUAAAAGUAGGUCCAUAGUCAAGUUCCCAUAUCUCCUCUAUGUACCCGUAAUAUGUUUCCAAACAGUGCCCAUUCUCGUCUGUUGCAUCAAAGCGGACACCACUAUUUUGGUUGGUGCUCUUUUUAUCUUGGGCAACCGUGUAAAAUGUAUUCCCAUUUAUCUCAUACCCUUGGAAAGUACAUAUAGUCGAAGAUGGUGGCCUGGCCAAACAAUACAGCUGAUCUCCAACGGUGUCGUCAUUCAUCAGAUGUGUCUGCAACCAACUGCCGAAAGUCUUCUCGUGUUCCCCUUUAAUCCAAGAGUCAGCCUUCCCCGGGUUUUCGGAGCGUAGAAUAUUCUUGUGUCUCACGAUAUACGGAGCCACCACGGUGCAAUUGUGUAGAACUGUGUAGUGUGCUUGAGAGAAAGAAUGCCCGUCCAUACAUACUUUUGCUUUCCUUCCUAGUGUGCCUUUUCCUGUCAGCCUACCCUCGUACCGAGAUUCAGGAACACCAAUUGGCUUAAGGUCAGGAAGAAAGUCCACACAAAAUUCAAUGACCUCCUCUGUUCCAUAGCCCUUGGAGAUGCUUCCUUCUGGCCUAGCACGGUUACGAACAUAUUUCUUUAAGACUCCCAUGAACCUCACGAAGGGGAACAUAUUGUGUAGAAACAAAGGACCGAGAAUUCUAAUCUCUUCGACUAGGUGAACUAGGAGGUGUGUCAUUAUAUUGAAGAAGGAUGGCGGGAACAACAACUCAAAGCUGACGAGACAUUGGACCACAUCAAUCUGUAACCCUGGUAGACUUUCUCGAUCGAUUACCUUCUGAGAAAUUGCAUUGAGGAAUGCACAUACCUUCACAAUUGCCAGGCGAACAUUUUCCGGUAGAAUUCCCCUCAAUGCAACCGGAAGCAAUUGCGUCAUAAGCACGUGGCAGUCAUGAGACUUUAGGUUUUGGAAUUUUUUGUCUUUCAUAUUUACGAUUCCCUUUAUAUUCGACGAGAAGCCAGUCGGGACCUUGAUACUGAAAAGGACUUCAAAGAAGAUUUCCUUCUCCUCCUUAGUAAGAGCGUAGCUGGCACGCCCUUGAAACUGCCCUGGAUGCAUGCCAUCUCUUCUUUUAUGACGUUCCUGGUCCUCCCGUGCUUCCGGUGUAUCUUUUGACUUCCCAUACAAGCCCAGGAAGCCUAAAAUAUUCACGCAGAGAUUCUUCGUCAGGUGCAUCACGUCGAUUGCCGAGCGGACCUCAUGGACUUUCCAGUAGGGUAGCCUCCAAAAUAUAGAUCUCUUCUUCCACAUGGGUACGCGCUUAUCAAGGCCGUUAGGAACAGGUUGGCUGCCAGGACCCUUUCCAAAGAUUACUUUUAAAUCUUUGACCAUAUCAAAUACUUCAGCACCAGUACGGAUGACAGGCUUCCCCCGGGGUUCUGCCUUGCCAUUGAAAUGCUUGCCUUUUUUUUCUUUAAGGGAUGCUUGGGCAGAAGAAAACAACGAUUGUACGGGUACACAUUAUUCCUACAUUUGUCCAGAUAUAUACUUUCUGUCUGAUCCAAAUAGUGCGUGCAUGCAUUGUAUCCCUUGUUUGACUGUCCUGAAAUGUUACUAAGAGCAGGCCAAUCAUUGAUGGUUACGAAAAGCAACGCUCGAAGGUCAAAUUCCUCUUGUUUGUGAAGAGACGUUUCAACCGUGGUAUUAUAGGAGCAUACCACAUCACCUUGGCAGAAACCCUCUUCCUGGGUGGCUCGCCCUCAAUAUCACCAGGAUCAUCUUUUUUGAUCUUAUACCGCAAUGCAGUGCAUACCGGGCAUUUAUCCAUAUUCUCGUACUUCUCACUGCGGUAGAGGAUGCAGUCAUUAGGGCAUGCAUGUAUCUUCUGCACGUCUAAUCCUAGAGGGCAGACAAGCUUCUUUGCUUCAUACGUGCUGGCAGGCAAUUCGUUCUUUCUUGGAAGCAUCUUCUUCAUCAGUACCAGCAACUUUUCGAAUGACGUGUCAGCCACACCGGUCUCUGCCUUCCACUUCAGCAAUUCCAGUGUGCUACCCAGCUUCUUGUGGCCAUCUUCACAAGUUGGGUACAACAAUUUGUUGUGGUCCUGUAACAUCUGUUCGAACUGCAACCUCUCCUUUUCUGUGUCGCAACCUCGCCGUGCAUCAGAAAUGACUCGACCAAGAUCAUCCGCGGGCUCAUCUGGAUCCCGUUCUUCAUCCUGAUCUUCUUCUUCAUUGUCUUCCAUUGCGGUAUCAUCAUACUCAGGGAACAUAGAUCGGUAGUUGUCAUCAUCGUUCUCUUCUUCUUCAUCAUCGUCUUCCAUCAUAACCCCUCUUUCUCCGUGCUUGGUCCAAACAUUAUAGCCCGACAUAAAACCGAACCGAAGCAGGUGGCUCUGAAUGACUCUUGAGGAAGUGUAAUCCUUCUCAUUCCGACAUUCAACACAUGGACAAAACAUAAAGCCACCACCAUGCUUGUUCGCAUCGGCUGCAUCUCGAAAAGAAUGCACGCCUUCUCUGUAAGCGGCUGUGCGUCGAUCACCGUACAUCCAUGGAUGGCUCAUCUGCGUUAUACGACAGUAUAUCAAAUAAAAUCACGAUCCUAAAAAUUAGUACCGCACGGUCUAAACGAGGAAAUAUAGUUGCUAACCUUUUAGAAUAAGUAGAAAUAAAGAGGAAGAGGUUUAAGCGUGGCUCAGGCAUCUCAUAUCGUAGUUGUGUUCGGUGAACUAAAGCGGCAUCGCUCUAACACACAUUUCAACAAACACCUCUAGUGCAUAAAAAAAAUGGAGAGCUAGCACACACCCACACUCUUCCAUCCAAGAAAAAUGCAAGGAAGAGGGGAGAGGGGGGCUGUGCUAUAUAUAGGCAGAGGACUUUAGUCCUGGUUUGAGACACAAACCGGGACUAAAGGUGGCGCACAUGCGGGUUGCACACCGCGUAGCCCUUUAGUCCCGGUUUGGGACACAAACCGGGACUAAAGGCUCCUUACGGGUCGGGACCAAAGCCUCGUGGAAGGCAUUGCGAUUUGGCGCGACGUGGCCGGGCCUUUAGUCCCGGCCCAGAGGCAAGCCGGGACUAAAGGGUCCAGGCCAAAGGCCCGUUUUCCACUAGUGGUUGCGCUAAUUCAUAACUACUGGCUAGUGAUGGAUCUAUCUUUUAAAAAAAAUUAUCAAUAGUUUUGAAAUGUCGAGCACUUUUUAAAUUUUAUGAAAAAAUGAACUUUUUUGGAGUCUCAAAUUUAAUGGAAGAACCGGAACAAAAUUGAAACGCGGGCAAUUUUUUGUACAAAAGGAAGAAACUAAUAAACGGAAACAUCUUUGAAAUUGUGCACAACUAGCAAAGGUGGCCCUCGCAAAUGCGAGGGCAUAGUCUAUGUAUAGUAAAAAAAAUUGAAACGCGGUCCCUUAAGUACCGAUCUCAUUAAAAAAGGUCGAAGAGGGUUGUCCGGUUAAUAAUCGAAAAACCGGGCUAAAACCGUCACAAUGCGCCCGCCACGACAGGCCAAUUGGAGACGCGCGUUGAAAGGUCUGUUUUAUCUGUUUAUCUUCGGGACGAAGAAAAUAGGAUCACGCGUUGGAGUUAAUAUGGACUCUAAAUGUAAAAAAGAAAGUACACGACGUGGUGCCCCGCGCCAUAUGAGAUGACCACGAAGGCCCUGUUUGGAUGCUAGGGUUAGAGUUAGAGUUGGUUAGAUUGAACUCAUCUAACCCUCAAAAUCCAAACAGGUGGGUUGGAGUUGGUUAGAUGUAUCUAACCCAUCCAAAAAAUCUAACCCACCCAAGAGGUGCUUUUUUGGGUGAGAGUUAGGUGGGGACUAGAAAAAGUUACUUUUCUCUCUCCCUCCACCACACAAAAUUCUAGAUAAAAGAGUCAAAUGAUUGGAAAAAGUGCAUUUAUUGACAAACUAAUCCUUCCAUCCAAACACCUCUUAGGUUAGAGUUAGUUCAGGAUUAGUCUAGAGUUAGAGUCUAACUCUAACCUCUAAGAGCAAGUAUAAUAUGAUGAUGUAGGCGGGCUGCAAGACUUAAAAUAAUAUAUUUGUGAUGAGUUGGAAGAGAGAGAAGAGGAGAAAAAAGAGAAGCGGGGUACAAACUAAGAGCAAGUUUAAUAAGGUCUAGUCAGCACGCUAUAGCAGAUGCCAUGUCACUAAAAUCCUAGAUGGAACAAAGAAAAAGGUGGAGAGAGAGGACAACGGGCGCUACAUGUGCAGCCCGACUAUAGCAGCGCAAACUAGGGAAAAGUUUGCAUGCAGCAUGCGCGAGCUCCUCCCUCCCAAUCACACCUCCCCUUUCACAUGCAUGCAUUAGAUGCUAUAGUUAAUUAGUAGUUAAUCUACAGUCAAUUUAUUAUGAGUGAACUUUUUUAAAGGCUAUAGAUGACAUGUCAUCUCUUUGUAGCCGGCAGUCGACUACAUUAUUAACCAAGCUCUAACAGCCGGCUGUAACACGUACUCUUAGGCACUCUGUGAGAACGAAUGGUGGGUCUUCUAUUAAUAAAGUAUUACUUAUUUACAUCUACCUAUUGUAUUUGCGGGCUAUAAGGUUGACUAUAGAUAACGUGUUCACAUUAUAUAGUCGGCAGCUGGCUGUACUAUUAACCAUGCUCUAACCGAGUUACGUUGGUCGUAAUGGGAGUAUCAUUAGUACUAUGCAUGCCAACUAGGCAUAUUUGAUAAUGUGGCAUAAAAUUAAAUGAGGAAAGAGAGGGUUAAGUAUCAUACUAUUAUGAUACUGUAUCACAUUAAAUGUUAUGAUACCAUGUGUCAUGCAUGACAAUAAAUAAACUGUUCCAUGAUACUAUGCAUGAUAUUGGUAUUAUAUGAUACUCUCUAUUACAACCAGUCUUAGAACAUCUCUAGUGAAUCCUGUAUAUGGAUGUGUAUAGUAAAUAUACAAGAUCUGGGUAGUUUUUUACUGUCCAACGACUCCCAGCGACUCGUGUAAACGGGCGUGGAAACAACCACGACGAAGCCACGACGGUACGAGGCGUGGAAACAACCACGACGAAGCCACGCUCGUUAGCUCGGCUGCUUCGUCCCGCGGCCCCUACCUCGCCCCAGAUCGCCGUCGCGUUCUUCUCCAGCCACCGCUCAAGGUAACUAUUCCUCCCUGACCGAGCUCACGAGCGGGAGGGCGGGGACGAGGGGCCGCAUGCCCUGCAGCCAGAUCUGGCGACGGGAGGGGCAGGGCGGCGACCUGGGCAGAGGAGGGGCCGACCGCCUGGGCAGAGGAGGGGGCGGCCGCCUGGGCAGAGGAGGGAGAGGCGGCAUGGGCAGAGGAGGGAGAGGCGGCGGCCUGGGCAGAGAAGGGAGAGGCAGCGACGGGAGGGAGAGGGAGAGGCAGCGACGGGGGGGGGGNNNNNNNNNNNNNNNNNNNNNNNNNNNNNNNNNNNNNNNNNNNNNNNNNNNNNNNNNNNNNNNNNNNNNNNNNNNNNNNNNNNNNNNNNNNNNNNNNNNNNNNNNNNNNNNNNNNNNNNNNNGGGGGGGGGGGGAGAGGGAGAGGCAGCCACGGGAGUGAAACUUCUGAACUUUAAGAUUGCUGUCAGUUUUACAUGCUUUUUUUUAUCUAUUGCUAUCAAUUUGAUUCAGAUUGCGAUGUAAAAUAGCUGCCAAUUGAACUAUUAUUGUUAAUUUGAAGUCAGAUGGAUGAUGACCAAUUUACUGCUUUCUGCUAGUUGUUGUAAGAACUAAGAUAAAAUAACGGCCUAGAGUAAUGUGAGCUAUAUGUUGUUGUUGUAAGAACAAUUUACUGCUUUCUGCUAGUUGUUGUAAGAACAAUUUACUCCUUUCUGGUAGUUGAAGACAUGGAUUACAUCACUCAUUUUUAUUGAUAGCCGUUUAAAAAUAUAGCCGUUGAAAUAUACACGUUCUAAUUUACACGUUACAUUAAAAAAUUAAGACGUGUAUAUGAAAAUAUACACGUUUAAAUUUACACCAUCGAGGGCCGAAGAAAUUUCCUACCCUAACCUUCACAUCACCUCCUCCGAGUUAUCGGCGGGCGUGCAGGCAGACAAGAGAAACGUAGAUCCCCGCGCCACCCACUCAAUCCCGCAGACCGGCCGUCGGUACCACCUUUCCCGGCGUCCGAGGCGCUGAUCCCGCCCACGAUACGCCCGGCCGACCGACGUCGACGAACCGAGGCGGCCGACCAUGCCCGCGCCACGUCCGUACGUACCGCCAUGACCCGGAAUCCGCAGGUCGUUCUCUCUCGUCACGGGUCCCCGGAUCGAACGUGCCCGCGUCCGUGCGUCCCUCCCUCGCCUUCCAAUGAAUCCGCUGGUCGUCUGCGCCGUAGAUCGAGCAUCAGAGCUGCAUGCACGUUGAUCGGCACGAUGAAGCCGGCCCCGUUCGAGGCUGCGUCGACGCGGCCUCCACUUGCAAAACGCGGCGCCAGGGCGAAGGGAGCCACUGUGGCGGUGGCGCCAAAGCGCAUCCUCUUUUCCCUCCAUCUUUUUCGUUCUUGAAGCCACGAUCGUGGGUAAUAUGUUCGGCCUUCCGGAUCCGAGGAAGCAGCAAUGGCAGCAGCACAGAUGAGACGAGACGAGAUACAGAAGCAAGGGCAUGAUGUCAAUCCAUCAAACGCGGACACCGGACAGGCCCGUCAAAUCGGUCCGGCAAAGAAAGCGCACGGACUGGCUUACCGGGCAUACGUACCACGUCGCAUGCAUGUCAGUCCACCACCCCAUGCCAUGUCUGGCUCGCGAACCGAGGCCGGAAAAAGCAGACGGUGCCCCUGUCGGCGACGAGCCUUCAAAGCCCUUGUGCAGAGAUAAUAAUAAAGCGCCUCUCGUUUGCAGCGUGCAGUACGGGUCUGGUGCAGUGUUUUUUAUCAAGACGGUGCAGCACGCUGCAGUUUUGACCACAGCUCUUGCCGUCCGGCAGGAGUAGGGUUUUUCACAGUGCUCUGUAGCCUGCAGUUUUGACCACAGCUCUGUCGUCUCGAUCAGACGUGCCGACGGUGCGCGGCGCAGGCCUCUGCCCAGCCAGGAUCCGAACCUAUCGGUGCUCUCUACUGUAGCAGUAGCAGUACCACCACACUCCACGUUCCGCCGAUCGCGGCGCACGGACGGACGUGCCCACUAGCCGGCAUGGUCUGGCAUGGCAUGGCAGGGCAGAGCAAGCUGGACGACCCGUCGACAUCAACCAGGGUUACCAGGCGAUGCCGAUGGCGCCAACCCCAAAACCAAAGUACCCAACCCAUGUGGACACCAGACGGACCGAGCCAUCCCAUCCUGCCGACGGGGUGCCGCCGUUGGCACGCACGGAAGACACGACACGACACGAGGUGCCGUGCCGAUCCUCUGAAACAGUGGUCCGCCGCACCAGCCGAAACUUUGGCGGGCACGCCAUGCACCCCCAACUGGGCCUUGUCGCCGCCCGAGCCUGUCCACGCCGGACAGUUGCGCGCCAGCCACCACGCCGUGCGACACGACGAAACCAAAUCCCUCCGUCGCCGUCUUGGGGGCCGUCCGUGGUCCUCCCGGUCGCCGUCGGCGCGCCGUGGACCACCACCACCACCACCAUCCCAUUCUCGCGCUGGUUGCCGUCGGUAUGCACAUAACCAACAGGCUGUUUCCUUUUCUGACGCCGACGGCUCCGCGCAAGAGGACGAGGACGACGACAUCGACAUGGCCGGCCUUUACCACAGCUUCGUGGUCCGGCACGGGCGUGCCUCGCCGUGUGUGGCCUCCGGUGGGCGUACGUGGUGCGUACGUGCCUGCCGACACCGAGAUCCCGCGCGAAAAUGAAUACGUCUACCACUGCCGUCCACGUCGUGGUCCGGCGCAGACGUCGCGUCCAGGACACUGACCGCAUUAACUCUCCGGAAAACGAAGCCCCGUUUCUCCUGCACGUACGGGCUCAUCAAAGAGCUUGAUGUGAUGUGAUGCGAUCCAUGCCGCCGGCGCCGGAGCGUGGAUGGUCGCAAUCCCCGUGGAGCAGUACAUGUCUGUUCACGGUCACCACGGCUCUAACGUGCACGGCAGCGGCAGUACCGCAAUUAUCAAUGGGCUUGUCCGUGCAUUGCAUGCAUGCACCGCCCGCCCGGCCGCAGGCGUGCCGCACCGCACGACGGGCGCUUCGCUGCCGACCGAGAUCGUUAUCAUCAAUCGCCGCCGCGGGCGACGAAAAGUGGCGCGAUCUGCGCCGAAACUACGACCGGCAAAUGAUAAGGGUCGUUGCCAGACAGCUCAUCCCGGAACCCAACAAAAUGAGUAGAUCGGUCAGCCUUUAAACACCGAACCGCGGCAGUCUGGUUUUUCAGUUGUAACAAUAAUGGCCGAGGUCGGCAUCAGCUGGCACCUACUAAUUGUACUCGUAGUAGUAAUAGCAGAGGAGGUAAAGGCAAAGUGCAGCGAGAGAUCCGGCGCUGAUGGCGACGUGGCGUGCGCGCCGGCGGCGACCCACCACACACAACACGAGCACGACGGCGCGGCGUGGUGGCAGCGAAGCGAAGCACGGGUCGACCGAAUCAUUGGCAGCCGACACCGACCGGUCACCCAGCCAGUUCGCCAGCGCACGGCAGGGCACGACACGUCGCUCUCCCGGCAUGUCGGCGCGGCUCAACGUGCGUCCUGCCGUGCCCCCUCCCGUGCCCCGGGGAGUAGAGGACAGGCGGGGCUCACACAAAAAAAAGGUUGCUGUUUGUUUAAGCAAGAAAAAAGGGGAGGGGGAGGGGACGGGGCGAUCUGCUUCGGUUCCGGCGAAGAUAUUGCUGCGGUGUAGUACGGCGGUGGCGAUCGGGAGCAGCUGACUUUUCGGUGGGUGUGCGUAUCGUGUGCCUGCCCGAAUCGCUACUGCGACGACAUGGCGUGUGUUCGGAGGAGCGGAACAGCGGUAGCACAGCGACGAGUCAAUCGGCGAGGGAUCCUAUGUAGCUAUCGAGUUGAUUGUGGCAUGUAGGGACGUUGGGGGAGGUGGGCGACGGAGAUUCGCUUGCUUGCUCGCUCUGUACGUGCGGGCGCACAUGGCACGUCCGUCGGCCGUGCACCGCGGCUACAGCCUACGUAGACCUGUGGAUAGGGCUGAAGUCUGAAACAAACCCUGUGUUUGUACGUACAGUCGCAAAUGACUCUCCACCUCUAAAUCCGUGAAAUCCAUGCCCUGAACUCUCUAAUCCCUAAUUUUUAAUCCUUGUGUGCCUAUCCAAACGCCGGGAUUCCUACAUGGCUCGGGAAAGGCUGGGAACAGGCUGAUUCAACAAGUGCAGGUGGGGUCUCAGACCAUUACCUGGUCAAGCCGGACCAGCUCGCGGGCCCCCUCUUCUACUCCGCCUCUUCCUCUUCCUCUGCCCCGGUGCGCCUCUGUUCCUCUUCCUCUGCGGCAACGACGAUGACAAGCUGAUGAUCGCGGCGACCGUCGGCAACAACUCCGGCACCAAAUAGAAAGGUACGCCUGGUCUAUCCCCCUCUCCAAUCGCAGGUGUUUUCUUCGUUUCAAACUUGGUUAGGUUUAAGUUUUUAAUGGUGAAGGUGCAGUUAUUGUAGUUCGAAAUCAGUGUAUUUGUUGGUGAUUUUUGUUGUCCAGUAUAGUAAUCAGUUAUGAUGCUCGCAAUGUAGCUUUUUUUGUUGAAUCCAUGGACCCGACUCAGAUGUUGAACGUCAGAUUUCAUAUAGGGGGCAAUUUGUUCGAAUUGGUCCUUCUAUGGACUAUGUUGGAGGAGAUGUAGCCUACUCUGUGAUUGAGAGAGAUAAGUUGUCUUUGCAGGAGGUCAAAGGUUUCCUUGCAGAUCAUUUGACAGUUAAGGAAAGCAUGAAGUUUUAUUUUCUUAUGCCCGUCAGAGACUUGAUUAAUGGGUUGUUGUUUCCACAUGAUUAUGUUGGUUGCAUGAGUAUGUCAGAUCAUACAACAGAUGGUGGAGUUGCUGAUAUUUUUAUGGAGUACAAUGGGGAACACGAUGAAGGAGAGCAGGAAAGUGGUUCUGACUUUCAGGAUGAAAUUGAGGAACACAUGAACAGUGGAAGUGAAUAAGAUAUGCCUAGCAAGGAAGAAAAACAAUGAUAGAAGGAGGGAAGAGGGGGAAGCACCCAAAGGAAAGAAGCUUAGCAAGCAUGGAAUUCAAAUCACUUGUGGGCCAUGUGGGGGUAAGGGACACCACAGAGGAUCUUGUUUGCAGAAUGCUGAUAGGAACGAAAAAAUAAAGCUUUUCUUGCAAAGAGAGGGAAAAAACAAAGGUCCAUUGAGGUACUAUGGAACUCAACAUUAUCAAUGUUUGUUGUUCUAAUUAUCUAAUAUGUAGCUCACCAAUGCUUGUUCUUUUUCCUAUUUGCACCAAGCAGAGACUAAGGCUGCCAAAAGCAGGGCAGCUACAACUAGAUCUUCAAAACCUGCAAGCAGGACUCAGCAUGCAGCAACUACAAGCUCACAACCAGCCACCUCUAGCUUCAGACCUCCAAGAGCAACAUCAACUAGAAAUACACCUAUUGGAGGAAGUACAUGUGCUGGCAGAGGAUCAGGAACUACUGGAGGGAGUACACGUGCUGGAGGAAGUAGAUUUGCUGGCAGAGGAUCAGGAAAUGCUGGAGGGAGUACAUCUGCUGGAGGAAGUAGAUCUGCUGGCAGAGGUUCAGCAACAGGAUUCAUGGCCUAUUUCACAGCUUCUGGGAACUACUGAAGUUGUGUACCUCUGAAAUGUGGUUGUCGUGUGAACUACUGUUAUUUUGGAUGUGUGUGUGUUCUUGUGAACUACUGGUAUUUUGGAUGUGUGUGUGUUCGUGUGAACUUGUAUUAUGUGGUAUGCUGAGUGAACAUGAGAACAUGAUCUAAAAAUCUGAUGGAUGUGUUCCUCUGAAAUUUGGAAUGUGUGUUAUGUGCUAUGUGAAAUUUUUUGCUGCUGCCAACAAUACUGCAUACUGCCUGUUAUGGCACUAAAAAAUUAGUGCAUUGUGUGAUAAAUUUGCAAACUGCAUUUCAUUGAAACAAAUAUAACAACUGAAUCCAGUACAUUUCACUUUCAUUUGUUCCAUUUGAACUAGGAUAAAAGCAUCCCUAAAACUAAACCUGACACAAAUAUCACAAUGGCACACACCAGCAUCAAGCCUUUCCUAGCUAAACUAUAACUAGUUGAUGAAGUUUGCUCAUUUCUCUUCUGCGCUUCCACACAAACUGCACCAGCACCUGCAUCUUCAUCUUUACACAUUGCUGCUGCUUCAUUCUCUAGCAUCCACACCCUAUCUCGAAGAUCUCCGAGCCAUACACGCAGAAAUGCAGAUGUUGGGUCAUCGUGCCACUCAACGAACCCAUGCUGCUCAAACAGAUAAAUGAGGAGAAAUCAAUCACACGAACAUACAAGAACACAUAGGAGGAGCAGAGAGCACAUACAAGAACACAAAGCAUGCAUAAUGUUUUCUUCCAGGGUUCGCCUCACUCCAUGAAAUCCACCACGCCGCCUUCCUCCCGCAACGCCUGCAGUAAAUCGCGGGCUCGUAAUCCAUCGGCUGCUCACGAUAGGCCACCGGCGACCUGGCCGCAGCGCCCCUCCGUCGAAUCCCUCGUUCGCGUGAAGCGGCGGAACCAACGGAGAAGGAAGACAUAGCCCCAGCGCUGGCAAUCACCGCCCUCUCUUGCUCGCCCUCUCGCGCGCGGAAGAACCCUAGAAAUCCCCACCUGUGUCCCCUGUUAGAAGGAAAGGAGCUGCCCGAGCACUAUUCGCAAUCCUGGUACCACGUCAGCAAAUCCGGGUCUAAAACAAGCUUAAGGAUUAAAAAAUCGAGGAUUAGAGAGUUCAAAGUUGAAGGUGGGGGUUCAUUUACGACUGUGCCUACAAACACACGGUUUAUUUCAGACUUCACUAUGUGGAUAGCUUCACGCCCGGAUUGAAUCCAGCCCAAACUAAACAACUCUGGCCUUUAGCCCAAACCAAUCCAAAAGUUUACAACUAGGAACUGUUAGAAUAAUCCGAGGCUCUCCAUCAAUCAAUCAAGGAUCAACCAAUCACACAAGCACGAUACCGAGAUUUGUUAACGAGGUUCAUCGAUAUGACUACAUUCCGGGGCAUGACUACGGGCGCUCCUCCCCGUGACACCGUCACAAUACCACACGCCGGUCGUCCGACUCAUUAUAUAAUAGGCCUAGGGAUAGAGGUGUCCUAAUAGGACGUGAAUCAUAUUCUGUCUACACAUAGUCCAAAACCAGGUCCAACUAUAACCUACCUUGUAGAAUAAUAUUCGACACAACUCUAACAAACUCCACCUUGGCGAAUAUUCUCCGCCACCUUGGAUUCAUCCAUGCGUCGAACCUCCACUUACAUUGGACUUGAGAUACGCCAUGAGCACCACUCCUACUCCGAGACUCCAUGUGACCCCACCUGCAACUUUAUUCCCUUUUUGUUUUCUUCACAGCCAACACUCGAGCAAAAUUUAGUUUCUCAUUACACUACAUUGUGCUUCCAACUUCCGGAAGUAUCCAUUCAAUGUCAUCACACACUGAUCACUCACCUGCGUGAAAGUGAACAACCCACAUAUUGAAUACUAUAUAUAAGAGUUACCUGAACUCAACAUCCUCGCUAUUUCUUGACCGUCCGUGUGAAACUUGAAGGAAUUUCACCGUCGCCUUUUGUCACCCCGAGUCAAAUUCGCACUUGUCUCAUCCUUUUCCCGGAUAGUCUGUGAUAUGUCCCACAGCUAUAGCACUCCACCCUCUUCUGUAUUUGUCAUCCGUAAUUUGCCAUGUGCAGUGAACACCACAGAAUAUACGGCCAUGUACUCUCUCCGCUUAUGACAAUUCAGACUUUCCGUCACUUUCUCAGAUUCUCCAUGAUCAACGCCCAUCCAUGAACCGACAUCGAUAGACCGAGUCACCAACUUGAAUUCGAUACUCGCCAACACUGCUUUAGCAGCCUUUGCACAAUUUGUCUGACCACAUGUGUGACCAUUGGUGCCUUGGUGUGCGCUGUGUCCCAUGCUUACCGCAUGCCUCGCCGCUAUCCCCGCGUCGAGCAUCUGCUGUCCUGGUCGAGUCUCUAGGGCUGCAGACCCACACCACUCAAACCCCUAUUGCAGAGAACCACCGAUCAUCACCGAACGGUGUCGAGUAUCACGUCUCCAUCACACCACUCGUACCCAGUCUGAUCCAUGUGUCUCUCACUAUCCUGCUGAAAUAGGCUCGAUUCUCCAACGUCUUACACGUAGCCCCUCCAUCAGCAUAGAGUGAAGUUUUCCGCUAGACUCCAGCUCCACCUUCAACAUCACUCCAUGUAGCUGGCCCUGCUACCCCGCGCCCUGUCGACUUCAAGCUCUCGUGUGUGCACUGUCUUGAAUCAAUCAUGCGUCAUAGUUUGUCGAAGCCACACAAGCCUCGGGCUUGCACCACGUGUUUCUACGCCCCAGAAGUUGACCACCAUCAGCAUCAUGCUCUUAUGUCGUCAUCAUUGAAAUCAACUCCAUCUUCUAUUUUGACCGACAUCCGCGUCGAUCCGUCAGACUGUCUAGUCUGAUCGAGUCAAAAUUAUUUGACUUCAACCAUGCUUCACCCUGCGCCUUGUCCGCCCUCACAUACUCGUUUAUUCUUUAACACCGUGUGUAUGUAUGAUCCUACAGACAUACUCCAAACUCCUCCAAGCCUUAUGCGUAUGUCGCCAACCUGCCAACCUCCUGGUAAAAUCCCGUGUGCAAUUCUCAACACGAUCCAAAAGAAAACCGGAUUUCAUGAUAGCGUCCAUGAAUACACCGAGCAUAUCUCCACAACUUCAAAAACUCCUUUUCUUUAAUCAGGUUGCAUCCAAAGCUACGUACAUACCAUGGUGUUGCAUAUUACGUUUUUUUCACCAACAAAUCUCACAUGCAUGCACAACACCACACGGAUCCUUUGCAUUGACCGUAUGGUUCGCCUAGGCAACAACCCAUCAAAGCACCUCGGGAAAAUCAUCCGUCCGUGCCAGUCCGGGCCUACAACUGCGCCAAGCACGCCCGUGGGGCCCUUCUAGCCCACAGCCUCGCCCAACCUGAGUUAUUUGCCCCAGCGCUCGAGAUGAAGGGGCUGUUUGGAUUGUGACUAUCUUUGCCAUAUCUUACCACAUUAUUUUUGCCACACUUGCCAUACUUGCCUUACUUGAGUUAGCUCAAAUUGUUAGCCACACAUUGGCUUGCCUAAGGAAAUCUUGUCACACUUUUUGUGUCUAUGACAUGUGGGGUUUAGUACUCACAAAAUAUGCUUGCCUUAGGUGUGGCUAGAACCAAACACCCAUCUAACUUGGUCAAACUUGCCUAAGAUAAGUUGUGGCAAAGUGUGGCAAGGUGUGGCUAGGAACCAAACAGCCCCGAAGUCUCUGCCUCGCAUCCUCCUCUGAACGAGCGCCUUUCCUCCCGUUCGAUCGAUCGAUCGCCGCUGCUUGCAUAUAUGUCGUGCACGCUUACGCGGCCGCUGCCACGCGCUCCACGAUCGAAAAGAUACGAUCUCGUCAAGAAACACUUCGCGUUGGCCCGACCUGCCGCUUUCGAUGGCUCCUUGCAAUCGUCCGCUUGGGAUCGAUUUCUCAUCCGCAUAUGCCACUCCGUCGGCGACAUCUUUCCUGCGAACAACCAACCCAAGCCGAACGUUUUUUCUUCUAGAUCAACGAUAUGCAACCUCCUCGAACCUUGCUCAUGAUACCACUUGUUAGAAUAAUCCGAGGCUCUCCGUUGAUCUACCGAGGACCAAGCAAUCAUACAAGCACGACACCGAGAUUUGUUAACGAGGUUCGUCGAUAUGGCUACAUCCUCGGGGCAUGACUACGGGCGCUCCUCCCCGUGACACCUCACAAUAACGCACGCCGGCCGCCCGGGCGCCGACACACGCCGCCGGCUCCCCCGCGUGCAUGUGCUAUUAUGUUGGUAUAUGUUACAUCGUGUAUCCACCCUCUCAUUAUAUAAGAGGCCUAGGGGUAGAGGCGUCCUAAUAGGACAUGACUCAUAUCCUGUCUACACAUAGUCCAAAACCAAGUCCAACUGUAACCUAUCUUGUACAAUAAUAUUCGACACAACUCUAACAGAAACCAAGCCCAACCAAAUUAUAUGUAUUUUGUGCCCAAACCCAUGCAAACUAUUCCCCUUCUUUGAUCCAAUCCCUAGUUUCAAACUGGGGAUACAAGAAGUUGGUGUGUUGACGUCCGUGUGUGACUCCACGUCUACUGUCUGCCGCAUGCAUGAUUGCCCAGUCAGCCGUGAUCUCAUGCAUGGCAACCACAUAGGCAAGGUGUUUCAGUUGAAGGCAUCGAAACCGCCCAUGUCAAUGACGGGAAACUACCGAGAGACACUAGGCCAGCUUGCCGUCGAAGGCGUUGCCCAGGCCCUAGUGCACGUACUCCAUCGAAACCGCGAACAUGCCACUCAUGCUCCGCGACUUGAUGGAUGAAAUGCAUCGAGCUACAUAGGUGCAUAUGGUAGCUGAUCUUUCAAUACAAUUUGGUUGAGAGACUGGAUUUUGUACAUGAUUGAUCGAAUGGUUUGUGUCCAAACCAAAUCAAUCCAAUCCAAUGGUUUAUCAAAUCCAAACCAAAGUAGACUGCUUUAGAUUCCCAGACUAUUUAACCCAACCUAACAAAGUCCAAUAGCAAAACCAAUCGGAAACUAAGGUUUCAGCCUAAACCAUUGCCACAUCCUUUUUUUGUUUGCACGCGGAGCUACUCGUAUAGUAGAAACACUAAAAAGCCGUCUAGCCCACGCGCACGGGUUGCAUAGAAGCCAUGUGACAUCCACGCACACUAGCUUGGGUGAUCAAGUUUAUGGACACAAGCGCACAACAAAAUUUUCAUGUCGGCCAAAGGAUUAUGCAAAUAGGUAGUCGUGACCAAAAAACGACCGUUUCAUGCACUUUGGUGUUAAAACAUUACAUUUGACAGAUGAUAUACCUCUGACUAAUAAUGCAAAAAAUAAAUUUGUCGGGCCACUACGCCACCGAGGAUAUGUCGCACGCCAGCCUCCUUUCCAUGGACCUACCGUGAGCACCAAACCAUAGCGAGGCAUUCGAAUUUACCCGUUGGGCCAUUACGACGCCGAGAUCACCUCGGAGGGUGAGAGAAAGUGGCUCCACACCUUCGAGACCUUGAGGUUGUUGUGCACGUGUAAGACACGGUGACAUGGAGGUACGCCCGGGGCCGGGCCAAGCUCAAACUCUCGGAGGUGGAAUCAGCCGAGGAGGAGCAAUUCCUCACACCUUCGAUAUGGAUUGUGACCCGUGAGGAGGAAAAGGUUAGCCGCGUGGCCAUUGUGCAACGCACUGCCAAGCCAAGGGGUACGUUAUCCUCCCUUCCUUCGAAUUUACGUGCGUAAAAAUUGAUCCAAAUGGAUGUAUCUAGAACUAUUAGUUCUAGAUACAUCUAUUGCUCUCACAAGUAUUUCCACACGAAGGGAGUAUAUGCAAGAGCUCGAUGAAGCGAGUACAGACAUCAUGGUGGCGAAGCUUUCAUUCUAAAUUAAGAAGGACAAGGAGAAAAUGAAGAUGGAGGAUGAGCAGCACCAUAGCAUGAAAACCCAUCCAUGCAGCCGCCACCGCCUUCCACCUCCCCCUUGUUGUCGGCAGGGCCUGGUCCUCGUGCGCUCACGAGGUGGACGUGUAUCCCUUCUUAUGGAUUGGGUGAUGUGCUCUUUGAUCUCGCGACCAUGGUAUGUCGUUGUUGGUGGUCUCUCCCGUAACGGUUAGGUACCUUCCUCGGGUCUUGGCGAGGUGGUGGGGCUCUGGGCAAAAGUCAUGUCGUCAAUGGGGAUCAGUUACUGAUGAUGAUGGCACAACACUAUUUUUUUCCUUUCAAGUCGUCAUCGAAGAGUUCGUCUUCUCCACUAGGCCAUGGUGCGUCCCUUCUUGAGUUGCCUUGGUGUUUGUUAGUGUGGCCGUACCCUUUUCAAGGUUUGGCAAGGAGUUGUGGGCGAACUCCAAGCGAAAGUUUUAUAGAUCGACAUGGGAUCAAUCUGGCAACGACGGUCACUCUAGUGGUCGUGUUUCAUUCUCGAAGGUGUUUCCAAAGAUCUCACUCACUUUUUUCGAGUCGGCGGUGUUGUUUAAGUUGCCCGAUUUGUGGUUUUUCGCCUCAUUGUCCCCUAAUCAAUUAAAUAAUUGUGUAAUUUUCGGCCCAGUUUAACUUAAAAAUUAGAUCAAUUUGAUUCUUCUGUAUGAAAUUGCAUGAGCAUCCUACCCACUUGAGUAGGUUACAUAAAGAAAUCAUACAAAUAGGAAAGUUACAUAAAAUGUGGAACCUUAAUAGAAGAAAAUAACUUGUCACAUUACGUAUAGAAAAAGAAAAGGAGAUGUCAGUGGGCUUUACAGGAUUUUUUGUUUUUUUCUAGCUCUGAGUAAAAACAAAGAAAAUUCAGGUGGUGUUUCUUUACCCAGGGACUAGACUAAUAAGUCCCAGGUAAAGAAAACAGGAGGGACUUUUCUUAAGGAACUAAGGAGGUGUUUCUUUUUAGAGACUUUUUGGUGUAGGGACUAAAAAAAGUCCCUAAAAGUCCCAUGGAAAAGAAAGAGGAGGAACUUUUAGGUACUAAAAGUGGUCAUUUGGGACUAGUUGAAGAAGCCCCUUCAGGAGGGACUUUUUCCCACCGUACCCCUGCGCCGCAUCUUAUCCACGCGCUUCCUCCCGUCCGCUCGCUCCUCCCCUUCUCUUCCCCGUCGCUUCUCCCCUUCCCAGCCACCAGUGCCCUGAGCAGCCGCCGCCGCCAGUGCUCCGUGCAGCCGCCGCCGCCAUGGCCACCAAUGAAGAGGGCACAGCCGCCGCCGCCAUGGCCACCGAUGAAGACGACGAGGCGCAGUGGAUCUCCCAGUUCCCGUCAAGGGUAAUAUGGUCUUUUUGCAAGUCAUUUAAUGACCCCUAGUCCAUGUUUAGUCCCUAGAAAAAAACGGAUAGGGACUAAAGACUUUUUAGUUGGGAUUAAAAAAAAGUCCUAGGACUUUUAUAAAAACAGGGCCUAAAAAAACUAUAUUGAAGGAACUUUUUCUAUAGUCCCUUGGGAAAGAAACACCACCUCAAUAGAACGUGUGGGAUAGAGGAAACACGAUAGCAGCAUUUGAGGAUUUAAAUAUCUCUGCAGUUGGCAUGCUGCAACUGCCCGUGCACCGUGGUUCACGGAAUCAGAGAGAAGCAACGCGAUUCAGCCGUCUGCUGACAUGGGAGGGAACGCACUCCACCCCCAGAAAUUCAGGAGUGCUGCUGCAUUGCCCUAUAUUUAUUUAUUUUUCCUCUUGGGCGUUUUUUGCUUCUUUUGCGCGCGAAAGCCUGAUGUACCAUCCCGCCCAAAUCUUGCACAGUCACGACGGAGAAAUUCCGGCGACGAGUCGCAUUACUGAAGAGCGCAAGCGGAACGGAAGCCAAUCACGCGAUAUAAAAGAACCAAAAUCAAGACACAUGACACAUGAAACUGCAUCGCCGUUGCAAUUCUCAUCUUGUUUAGCGCCUAAUAAGGUGAUGAUAUUAGUGGCCUCCUGGAUUAGUCCGUUCCCCGUCGCUGCACCGCAAAAGCACUCACUACCGGCGGCGGCAGCCCCUAUCUACUUUCCCGAAGCGGCGGGCCGAAUGCCGCUCGCGUUUUCAUCUCUCGGCUUCGCUUCACUUGGCGGCGUAGCUGGGGAUCUCGUAGAUCUGGUGGAUCCUCCAGAUGUCGUCGUCGUCGAAGCACGCGGGCUCGGCGCCGGCGACGGAGACGGGCCGGAAGUCCUCCUCCACGAACGGGAACCACCCCAGCAGCUUCUCCUCCUCCACCCCGAACGUCCACCACGGCGACCCGUCCAUCUCGUCCCACUCCGCCGGCAGCCCGCACGCCACCUCCCCUCCUCCUCCUCCUCCCGCCCCGACGCUGACGNNNN
rnacentral:lncRNA from 1 species